UUUAAGACUAAUAAAUAUGGGUAUAACGAAAUCUUUCGGUGGUAGCAUCUAAUGCAGAUAGCUACCGGAGUAAACAAGUUAGUAGUGAUAGACCCAGAUAAACUCUGAAAAGUGUAAACUCAUCUAAAUGCUGCUAUAUUUUACUGUAUCAUGAUUAUUAAACGGUCUAAAGCAAUAAUCUCUCUCUAGUUAAUUUGUUUACCAUUCUUGGAGCUCCAUCGAUCUCCGCAACCUCCAUGCCGGUGACAAUCAUGCCAGGAACGACCUCUCGAGUGAAUCGAACAAUGGCAUCCUCAGCAGUGUUCAUGUCAAGGGCCUUCAUUCCCGGGACACUAUCAAUCAUGCCGAUGCUCUUGAGGCGCUUGACUCCGGUAGCGCCAAAAGGUCCAUCGUGGCCACAAGAGCUCACAACCACCUUAGCCUCCAUCACAUUGGGGUCCAUGCAGGACUGCGUGUCAUGGUUCAUUGACACAAGAGCCCAGUUGGUGACAACACCGCCAACUCUGCCGCCCUUGACAAUCAAAUCCUCUGCCGCCACGGCGUUGAACAGCUUCACGUUCGGCCGGGCCAAGAGCUUGCUCAUGAUCGUCGACGUGAACAGAGCCGCGUGCUUUAUCACGACAUAGUCGUCUUGCUCGUCAUACUCCACACCCACCUCAUCCAAGAACAAAUGAGCUGGCUUACGAACCACCUAUCAAACAUUAAAUUUAACCAACAUCAAUCAGAUGAACAAGAUCAGAAUAUUUGUCUGCGAUGAAAAUUAAUCUAAUUUUUUAGGGGAUCACAAGAUCUGUAAACUAUUUCCCCUCAAAUUAAUGAUUAUGAUAUUAGUUUCUGGGUUUCUUUAUUUCUGAUCUCUAUUAAAAAGAAAUGAUUUUUUUUAGUCCAAAUACGGCAUGCAUGAAAGCUGAUUGGGUGAUUUUCAAAAUUUUGGUAUUUUCAAGAAAAGAACAAAACAUAAAAUAAAAACAGAGCAUCCAUUCAAAUUUGGAAAGUGAACUUGUUACCAUAGCAGAGAAGAGUUGGCCGCCGAGCCAUGCACCGCCACCGGGGCUGACGGAUUGUUCGAUGAUGGCAAUACGAAUAUUGGGGUUUUUGCUGAGUUCGUAAGCGCAAGAGAGGCCGGCGGAGCCAGCGCCGACGAUGACAACGUCAGUAUCAGCGUAGGUGAUCAUAUCGGUCAUGUAUCGACGGGUCAUCUCUCGAGAGACAAUAGAUUCUCUGAUAGGGUUGAAUUUGAAUUGGUUUAAAUCGUAGGGAGGCUGAGAGGCGGAGGCAGAGAUGGUGAGGGACGUGGCGGCGGUGGAUUUGAGGCGGAGAGAAGAAGGAGAGGCGAGAGGUGUGCCAUGGAAAGAGGAAUCAUGAAGUAAAGAAGGUUUUUGGAGCUUGGUGGUGAGAGUGGAGGCAAUGGAAGCCAUUUUUGAAGCAGAGGAAAACAGAGGAGAUUGUAGUUUGGUGUGGGGAAGAAGAGGGGAAGGAAGAAGGGUUUUAUAGAGGAUAUUGAAGAAUGUAACAAUAUCUUACACGCUUGCAUGUAUGAUGCAUACAUUACCUAUGCAUGUAUUUCAAACAUUGAUGCAUAUAAUCGAGAUUUUCAUUUAUCCAUGUAUUUCUCUUUUUACUUUUUUUAACAUAUGAUAUAUUAAACAUAGGUUUAGCAAUAAGUAACUAAAAUUAGUGUUAUUGUAAUAAAAUUACAUUAAUUUUGAUCAUAUUUACUUACACAUUUUACAAAUGUCUUAUCCAAAUAGUUCACUUUAUGUUGUCUUCUUACUAUUGCUCUUAUUAUCAAGGGUCAACAUAUUUAUAAUUCUCUUCUUCUAAUAGUAACACCAUAAUAUCCCCUAAUGAGUUGCAUGUAAUUUCAAAUGCAUUUAGAGAUUGGUCAUCUUAUCUCUAUAAUUAGAUUGCAUUACAAAUUUGUUUGUGAGGACACCAUUUUUUCUACAAUUACAGAAUAAAUGUAAACAACAAACCUAAUUAAAUGAGACACCCUUUUCAAAUUCUCGUUUGAUUGGUUACAUUUUCCGAGUGUAUAGUCACUCUAAUUUUAUACUGUUGCAACCAAUCCAAAACCAAAUCAAAUUAAUUGACUUUAUUAAAUAGAGAACCAAAGAUGCCCAAUAGAAGAUAGAAUCUUUUUUUUUUUUUUUUUUUUUUUUUGGGUUUCUAACCAAUGGAGUCUUCUUUUCUUUCAACUUUUACUUUGAAUGGGUUACCUUUUUUUACCAUUUUUAUAGAUAAUUAUGAAAAAAGAAGUAUCCAUUGGCAUAAUAUUUGAGUUUAUUAUCACUACAGUUUUCAAGCGAUACGCUUUCUAUCCAAAUUGAAAUGGUUGGAUUUUGAUUGAUUUCUUGAUAAAAGUUCAAACCAAAAGAAUAAACUUUUUUAUUAUCUCUAAAUAAUAAAAAAAAAAAAACCCCAAUCAAAACAAGAAAUGAACUUGAUUGAAUUUGAAUUUGUUUUGUUUUUAUUUUCUUGAACUCGAGUGUAAGGAGUAUCCAAAAAUUAGGGUAAGAAAAGUUCAAAUAUUUGUUAAGUUGGGAAGAGAGAAAAUAUCUGGAAGGGGACACGUGGGAAGAAGAUAGGAAAUGAAGGGCUGAGAAUGAGGUGAUGGUGUUGGACACGCGGCAUCCAUGGCAGCCAUUUGUUAUUUCUUUUCUUUUUCUUUUGCCAAAAUGAGAUUUUUUUUUUUCUUUUUCCCAAUAAUAUGAUAUGUUUGUUGAUUUGCAAAAUAUGGAUUUGUGAUUGUGAAUCAUGAUAUGUCCGUUUCUUUCGUCAAGAUAUUUCACAUAAUCUUGUAAAAGAAAGAGAUGUUUAUAUAUAGGCCACUCAUUUUGCUUUUUACUCUUUAAACCAUUGCUACACAUUUUAAUGCGUCUUUUCAAAUAAUAAUAUUUAUGUUUAUUAAUCAUUGAUAUUUUUUUGUAUCUACUUUAAACAAGAUUAAGUAUAGAGAAAAUACAUUUACAUAAGGAAAUAUUUACAAAUUAGGAUCUAAAUGUAUUCUAUUUCCCUAAUUUAAACAACUAUAUAAUUUACGAUCACACUCUUUCUCAAACUCAAGGCGGUAAUGUAGCAAUCAACUUGAGUUUGUUAACCAAUUGAAGAAAAUGGCUAGAAGCCAAAGCUUUAAUGAAGAUAUCAACUGGUUGUUCAGUGUCGAAAUGGAGUGUAAGAGAAGAUUGGUGCUUCGAAGAUUAUGACAAACAAAAUGAUAAUCGUUUUUAAUAUGGUGGGUACUCUCGUGGAAGACAUCAUUGUGAACAAUAUGCAUGGUAUUAUAAUUAUGUCUUUAUACCCUUCUCUCGGCUCAAGCCUUUACCACACUCUUUUGUCAAGUUGCAGUUGUGCAGAGAAAUCUCAACGCACUUAGUAGUUACUAUGAAUUUCACUACGCAUAAUGUGUCUUCCAAUGCUAGAUCACAUAAAACGCAAAGGGUAUUCUAUACCAAAUCACAUAGUAGGUAUGAGAGACAUUUCAUACUAGAUCACACAACAAGUAUGAGUCAUCCUAUUCAAUAUCACACAAUAUGAAUAGGGCAUUAUACUCCAGAUCACACACUAGAAAUAGGGCAUCUCAUCUUAGAUCACACAGCAAGGACAAAACAUUCUAUCGCAUAGGGUACAAAAAUUAUCUUUUUCUAGGAAACAUUGAUUUCUCAUUUUCAUGUAAUACUAGCAUCAUCAAUAGCACAUGCCACAUAGUUUAACGUAAUUGCCUUAAAGGGACUUAAAGAGAUUGUUUUCAAGCAUUUCUUUUCAUUUGAAGGUUAUUCGAUAAGAUACUUUAUUAUGUACUCAAUCACCUUUUAUUAGUUUCAUAAUGAACCAAAUUCAUACAUAAGUCACACAUGUUUAUGGGAGUUGAAAAAGUAUAAGGAAAUCCAUGUAAACAAAUUUGUAAUAACGAUAGUUUUAAGGGUUCAAACAUAUUAGAAAUCCCUUUAUAUAUUUGAAAACAUUUGCAAGGGAGGAAAACCACUCACUGCUGCAGUGAGCUAGCUCUUCCUUCUAGCUUCCUUGACCAAGAGUUCUCCUGUGCUUUUCAGAUUCCUUGAAGGAAUGAGUUUUUCCUGCACCUUGAGACUUUGGUUAUCCUCCCCGUUCUCUCUUAAGAAACUUAAGGUAAAAACGUCUUCAGUUCGGUCUAAAAUCCUCAAUUUAUAUGUCUCUCUGGUGAAUUUUUUCAUGUCGAAAUGAUUACGCUUUACCGACGGUGAGGAGUGGCCUAAUCUCGAAAUGCCAUGUAUCUCUGUCCAAUCCUUAUCCUGAUCUAGAUUGGGUGGCGAGUCCAAUCAAUCAUCGACCUACUAACAUUAGGGUCACAUCACUGUUUCUUGAUGAGGUAGGUCAGAAUUGUCCAACUGUUCGACGCAUAACCUUCUUUGCAUGGGGACUUUCUAUUGCAUGAUCCUUUAGCGAGGCAUGGUUUACUAUCAGAAGUCUCUUUGCAAAACAUUCUUACCGCAAGGGAUUCCUUGUAUUGGGGGUACGCAAUCAGGGCCUUACACGCGAUUAGACAUUUUCCUUUAAAACACUAACCUUAUCUUCUUGGAGUGCUCAAUUCUUUAUCGCUUGACUCUCUUCUCGAAAAACAAUAGAACAUUUACUUUACCUCAUACGGUUGUCUAGUCAUCUCAUACAAACAUCCAUCCUUUCAAUAGAACACCUACUUCAUCGCAACAACACUUAGGUGCAAACACUUCUCCUCGAGUUACUACAUAGGACAUCUAGUUCUUUGCGUUAAAUGCAUGUUUCUUCUUUCCUAGCUAAUCAUCGCCUUGCUUCAAGGCAAUAGUUACUAUAAGUAUCUCUCGUUGUGUCACCUCUCCUUAAAGGCACCCUUCAUCGCAUAAUGCUUUUUACUUACAUUUAACUAAAAUGACUCUUAUUAACAGGGCUCCUCUUCAACAUGACUCACUUUCUCCAGAUUAGAGCCUCAAGUGGACUAUUGAGGUACUCUCAUAUCCGUAAGGAUCCAUGGAAGUCAUGAUAGUUAUAAAGUAGCAUUAGCAGAAGCCCAAUAUUAUGAUUUAGUGCUGGAAAAGAAGACAACAUUUUGCUUUUUACCCUACCAUGAUAUUAUGGGAUUACUUAAAUAGAAGGAAUAAAUGAUGGUGGAGUGUCGAUCAUUAGGAUCAUCAACCCAAUCAACAUCAAAGUACCCAGAUAACACCAGAGGUGUCGAGAAGAGAAAUGAAAUCUAUGUCUCAAAGUACCUUUGAGGUAGUGAAAAAUGUUCCAUCAACUUACUAACAAUGUGCACAACAUAUGCAACGUUAGGACGAAUCACUAUCAGAUAAAUGAGGAUGCCAAUAAGUUGCCUCUAAAGAUUGAUAUCAUCAAGAGGAAUACCCUCUUACGGUGUCAAGUGGACAUUGGGAUCAAGAAGUGUUGGUGUCUUGAUGGAGUAAAUGAUACGGAGCAGGCUAAUAGAUCAGAGACAUUUGGCUUGAGAAAACAAGUAACCAUCAAGACAUGUUGAUACCUCAAAAACAAGAAAGUAAUUAAGAGAGUUUAAGUCUUUCAUUUGAAUAACUAAGAUCAUGAUAUCUACCGUUGCAACACUAAGAUAGCCCGAGGAUCAUCACCACUGAUAAUCUUGUCCAAUACCAUGAAGAAAAAUUAGAGAAUUUAUGACGGAAGAGUUUACAAGUUUUUUUUUACAAAAUGUAGUUCCAAAUUAUUGUAUGAAUAAGUGCUUGCGAAAAGAACUUCUAAUUUUUUGGAGGGAAAGCCGUUUUCUUCAAAUAAGAUGUCUUGAAACUUGUGGUUUGUUAACAACAAACAUAUUAUAUUUACAUAGUAAAGUUUUUAAAAGGUUAUUAAAUAAAAUUGUUAUUGAACAUGAAUGAAUUGCUUAUUUCAUAAUAGAAAACCAUAAAUCUAAUAAACUAAGAUCUAUGGUUAUGAGUACGAGUACUUGAACUUUAUGUAAUAAUGUAAGAAACUCCCAAUGAAGUGAGAACUAUGUUGGGUGUUGGCCUCAUCUUCUAACGGGAGAAGUCGUCCAGAAAUGGAUUGUGAAAUUUGUGAUGGAGACAACUCCCAAUGAGCCAAAGGAUGCCAUUGGGAACUCGUCCCAACCCUCGACGACAUUCAUUAAUAAGGCGAAGAUGAUAUGAACUGAUUUUGGCUUGAUCCAGGUAGGUCCAAAAUGCUAGAUAUUUAUUAAUUGAUUAACUAGUUUCUUGAUUGAGUCUAAUGAGUACUGUGUAACUAAUAGUAAUAGUAAUGAACCAAUCCUAUAGAUUAAAAUCAAGUAGGUUUUGCAUGAAAAUCCCAUAAUUUUAUAACAUUAUCAAAAGCUUUGAGUUGAAAAUGGAUAGUAGGAAUAGAUAUGUUAUCAAUCCAAGUGAUAAUUUGGUGAUUCUUACUGUCUCAAUCUUUUCGUCAUUUAACAAACAUACUAUCAUCUUUCUUGUCCAAUGUAGUUUGUUUAGCAACAUCACCAAUGAAAAUUUUCCGUAGUCUAUGUUCAAUUAAAAAAAAUUCGUUUGAUGGGUUCAUGCAUUUAAGAUAAUUGGUCCCAUCAACAACAGUACUAAUAGAACAAAAAAUGUGAUUUUUUUCAUUAAGGACUGAACAUAAAUUAACCACCAAAAUACACAACAAGAUUGAAAACAAACAAAUCUAAGUUAAAUCACAACGAGCAGAGACUAAAGUGCCAAUGAUCAGAAUAGGUGCAGGACCAGUUAGAAGCUGGAAUGAGUAGACGUAGAAUAUGUUUAGAUAGUUAUGAUAUAUUAUUUAAUUUAAACACCAGGUGUUUGUGAUUAUAUUUAUUUUUUCACUGAAAAGACACCAUCAUAUGAUUGGAGAUAUUUUCUUUUCACUUAUAUACAAUCAAUUAAUGAAUGAAAAAUAUGGUGUUAAUUAACAAGGUAUUAGUUGUGAAGUAUUAAAUAAUGGUAAAAAUUGAAACAAAUUUGUUUUGUAUUUUGGUAGAAGAGAUAUUAUUAAAUUGAGAAGGGGUAUAUCUGCUAUCACAGUCAUGAAAAAGAGAGAAAUUAAAGUGGCGAUGGGUAGCUACAUCACAUCUCAACUUGCUCCCCUCCAUCCACUAUUUUUCGUCUUCUUUCUUCUUCGACGUGAGGAUGAACUAUCAUUGGAUUUAGAGGUGGUCCAUACAACUUCAAGAUUUUUUUGGUACCAAAAUCACUUUAUAAAUUAUAGUCUAAACCAUGUUACUCUACUUUUUUUUUUUUUUCUAACAUCUCCCUCCUUUCAACAAUAUUUUUAUUGUAUCUUACAAAAAUAUAGAAGAAUAAAAUAUCACUAAUCUACUUACAAUAUAAAUAUAAUAGACAAUAGAUAUGUAACGAAAUAUUUAUGGAGAAUUAUUGUCAAUUGCAAACGUUGUGAAAAUAUUUAGAAAGUUUAGCAAGAUCUAUAUGUGAGAUUUUUCUAUAUUUUUUAAGUAUUUUUAUUUAUUUUGCUAUAUUUGAAAUGAAUACAAGGUUUAUUUAGUGAUUUAAAUUAAAUUUUUUUAUUUUUAUAGUUUUUCUAGAAAUGUUCAACCAUAUAGACUAAAUUUAUGUAAAAUUAGCACUUUCAUAUUUUUGUAGAUAUCAACAUUUUAAUCCUUCAUUUUAAGCAUGAGAUUUAACUAAUCAUGUAUCUAUAUUUUAUUAUUUUAUGUUCUAUUUUAGAUUUGUACUCUCUUCUGCAUUUUCAAUAAAUCAUAAAUUAGUCCUAGUUUACUAUAGUAAAGCUAAUUUUUUUAAAAAAUAAUAUAGCAAAAAAAAAUUCUCUAACCAAUGCAAAAAAAUCCAAAAUAUCUAGCUUACUUCUCUCAACCAUGAUCAUUGUCAAUACCUAAUAGACAUUGAUAGUCUAUUAUUACUAUUUAUGAUAGUCUAUUACUCUAGAGUGUCUAUAACUGAAUAGUUGGUUGUUAAUAAGAAAGUUGAUGAUGAUUGUUCUUAAUCUUAUGCUCCUUAAUUUGGUUUUAAGGAAUUAGUUGUCAUUUAAUAUUUAUUGAAAAUAUAUAUUGUUAUUGGGAGAGAGCAAUUUUGAAAGUAUUCUCUAGACUUAAGCAUAUUAAUUUCUUCUUACUCGAAAAGAUAAAAGAAAACAUGUGUAUUUGAAUUAUCUUAAAAACAUUAAGAUCUAGGGAUUAAAAGAAUGCAAGAGCUUGCAUUGAUGGUGGUACACAUGUGUUCCCUACACCUCAAAAUCAACCAUCAUCUCAAGUAGCUCAAAAGGAAAUUAAAGGUCGAAGCUAUAGAGUAGCAAGAAGGAGCUGAGUAUUAAAUCAUUUUGGGUUGUAUAUAUACAUAAUAGAAAUCACUCCAACUCAAUUCAGAAGACGUUUGAAACCAAGAAUUUCUAACCUAAAUUUCAUUAGCUUAUUUGACAUCAUUAGUCCGCCAUCUAAAGUCAUGGCUUAUUCAUCUAUAAAUAUAAGCUACCUACAACUUUUGAGUUGUAUAACAAAAUUUUAAGAGAUUAAGGGAUCAAGUUUAGAGAUUAAAAUUGAAUAUUUUUUAAAGUUUAGAGACCAAACUAAAAUAAGAUUCAAAGUUCAAUAGGGGAAUAUCAAAUUUAAACCAAACUAAAUACGUUUUUUACAUACUGAUUUGUAUUUAUUUUUUAAAUAACCAAAACAUUUUCAUAGUGGGUUUGAUGUAAACCAAAUUGGAGAGUUUUACUAAUGUUUAAAAGUUGUUAAUAUAAGAAGAAAAGUACUCUAUUUAUAGCAAACUGUUAAAUGAAAAUUUUGAGUAAACAAGUAUUUACUAUUAUUUUAUUCAACACAUACAUUUCCACAUUGCUAAGAAGUCUCCUUUAUAAACUCAUAGAUCCGCUCAUGGGUUUGGGCCCUAAAGACACUCAAGUUUUGGAAGGAGUGAGUAGAUAGUUAAAUGUAGAUAUGCUUAUAUCUCCACGUGCACCACCACUGCCGUCUGUCGAGUGAGGCGAGGAGGAAUAAAAUAAUAAUAUAUAUAAUUUUUGGUAAAUUAAACACUUUCCAAAGUCGAAAUAAUAUCCAAAUUAAAUGGUAUUUAUCAAUCAAUUUUCUUUUGUGUUUUAUAACCAUUGGUUGCCUCCACACUCACUAUAUAUAUCAAUCUAAUUCUUCUCUUCAAUAUACAGAAAUUAUAUAUAUUAAUGAUGAAUUGGACUCUCUUGAAUUCAAUAGAACUUGGCACCUAGUUGACUUACCUGACCUUAGCUGCAAAGCAAUAGACUGUAAAUGGAUUUUAAGGAAGAAACUCAAACCUGAUAGAUCAAUAUAUAAGUAUAAGGCUAGACUAGUAGCAAAAGGUUUUAGGCAGAGGAAAAACAUAGAUUUCUUUGACACCUUCUCUCCAACCACUGAUUUCUAUAGUUUUCAUUAACAAUCUCUUAAUACAUCAAAUGGAUGUUAAAAACUGCUUUCCCUAAAUGAUGAUUUAGAAGAAGAGAUUUAUAUGGAACAACCUUAAGAUUUCAUAGUUCACCGUUAAGAAUCUAAAGUUUAUAAAUUAGAUAAAUCCUUCUAUGGCCUAAAACAAGCUCCUACGCAAUGACACGAAAAGUUUGACAACUUAAUCAUUUCCAAAGGAUUCAAAAAAAUGAGAGUGACAAAUGUAUUUACUAUACGACUGAAGAUAGAUUAUGCACUAUCAUAUACUUAUACGUAGAUGACAUGUUAAUAUUUGGAUCAAACCUACACGUCAUAAAUUAUGUAAAAUCAAUGUUGAGCACAAACUUUGACAUGAAAGACUUAUAAGAAGAUAAUGUGAUCCUAGACAUCAAAAUUACCAUAACUAAAAAUGAAAUGUUCUUAGAUCAAUCUUAUUACAUAAAAAAGAUCCUAAAGAAGUACAAAUACUUCGAAAGCAAACCAGCUUGUACACCCUAUGACUCUAGUGUUAAAUUGUUCAAAAACACUGCUGGCAGUGUUAACCUAUCAGAGUACGCUAGUAUCAUAGGUAGUUUGAGGUAUGCUGUUGAUUGCACUAGACCAUACGUAACUUACGCUGUAGGAUUACUAUGUAGGUUUACCAGCAAAUCUAGUCUAGAACAUUGGAAUGCUAUAGAAAGAGUAAUGAGAUAUCUUAAGAAAAUACAAAAUAUAAGAUUACAUUAUCAAAAGUUUCCCGCUAUACUUGAAGGUUACAACAAUGUUGAUUGAAACUUUCUCUUAGAUGACUCAAAGGGUACAAGUGGCUAUAUUUUUAAUAUAGCAGGAGAAACUGUUGCUUGAAAAUCCAAGAAACAAACAAUAUUAGCCUAGUCAACGAUAAAGUUAGAGAUGAUAGAACUAGCUACUGCUAGUGAAGGAGCAAACUUGCUAUAAGAGAUUCCCACACGGGAAAGAUUGGUACCGGCAAUACUAAUCCAUUGUGAUAGUACUACAACUAUCGCAAAAGUUCAGAAUCAUUAUUAUAACAGUAAGAGACGACAUAUACGUCGUAAACACAUUAUCAUUAGAGAUUUUCUCACUACUGGUGCAGUGAUAAUAGAUUAUGUUCGAUCUGAUGACAACUUGGCUGAUUCUUUGACGAAAGGACUAGCAAGAGAGAAGGUCUUUAAAACGUCAGAAAGAAUGAGACUCAAAAUUUAUAGAAAAUUUAAUUACUUGUGAGGUAAACCCAACUUGAAAGACUGAUCCCAAGAAACAAGUUUAAUGGGUAAUAACUGAUCACAAGCAAUAUGAUGAAAAUCAUGCUAAAAUAUUAGAAGUUCCAUUCUUAUGAUUGAAUAAUUAGCAUGACAUCCUGAAGUGUAUGAGAAGGCUAAACUUUGUUCUUAAUGAAAUAUAUACUUGAUAUCAAGUAAGGUACCUAGCUACAUAAGUACUCUUGAUAGCUUCACCUUUGUGAAUGUGGAAGUGAGAGUUGCUUCCUUUGGAAUUUUGGACAAAUUCCUAGAACAUUCACUAAACCGGGUUAUACGUGCAAGGCCAUAAAUCACAAGCUAUUUUAGAACUUCACUCGAAUAAUGUUGUGUGGACAAUAGUAUUAGAAGUAAAGUUCAAAACUACAAGUUACUUUACAAUACUCUAAACUGUUGUCACUACUUAAAGGUUCAAGUCAUUAGACACCUUUACUUAAGCACAAUAUUAUAGAGAUAGACACUGAUCGAUGGAAACGUUUUAAAACAAUUUCAAGUGGGGGACUGAUAGUAUGAAUAUUUCAAGUGGAAAAUUGUUAAAUGAAAAUUUUGAGUAAGCAAAUAUUUAUUAUUAAUUUAUUCAACACAUGCAUUCCUGCUAGUAAUGUGGAUGUCUACUUUGUAAACUCAUAGAUCCAUUUAUGGGUUUAGACCCUAAGGGCACCCAAGUUUUGGAAGGGGUGAGGAGAUAGGAAAAUAUAGAUAUACUUAUAUCUCCACGUAUGCGCACCCCGCCAUUGUUGGGUGUGGAGGAAUAAUAUAAUAAUAAUAUAUACUUUUUCUAAACUGUUUUCUUAUUAUAAACAUUUUUGGUAAAUUAAACACUUUCUAAAACUGAAACCGUAUUCAAAUUAAAUGGUAUUUAUCAAUCAAUUUUAUUUUGUGUUUUAUGAUCGUUGGUUGCCUCCAAAUUUACUAUAUAUAUGAGUCUCAUUCUUCUCUUCAAUAUACAGAAACGAUUUCUCUCCCAAAAAAUUUCUUCUGAGCAUAUGAGUGUUUAUCUGAGUGUUGUGAAUUCUGAUUAGUUUUGAUAUAAAACUAAUUGAAGAACGAUGUAUUUUAUCAUGGGGACGUCGAGGCAAUCAAACUGUUUUGGACAAAGGAGCAGAGACGCAAAACGUCUUAAAGAGAGCGAGAUUCGCGACUCAACCAUUUUCUCAAAAGUUUUUGUUUUGUAGUUUGCGUUUUGACCAAGCGUUUGACCACUAGGCGUUUUGAUCAAUUGGCGAGAUAGUCAGUAAGCGAGAUAAGUUGAGGAGGUGAUAACUAGGCGACUUGGUCAGACGAGAUACCAGUACAUUACACGAGAUACAAGGCAAAGAAGCACGCAUUUUGUCUAGACAUUUUGCCUAGGCGUUAAGACUUCUCAUUGCAUCACUCCUUCGAGUCAAAAAGCAACAACACAAACUAAUCCUAAUCCUAAUUAAUAAAAGAAACUAAUCUUUAAUCCUAAUAAAUAAAAGAAACUAAGCCUAAUCCUAAUAGAUUAAGGAUUUUAUCAUAAUAUCCUAUUCCUACUACAUCAUUCUAUAAAAAAAAAAACUCGUCCUUAAGUUUUAAAAUGAAAAUGAAUGUGAAAAUAAUAAGUAAACUAGUCGAAUAAUAUCCCAAUUUUGUGAUACCUAACAAUCAAUUCUAGAACUAAUACGAUAAAGAAGAACUCCAUUGUCAAAGAAUAUGCAGAUUUAUCAAAAAAAUAAACUAUCACUCAUUUUGUAACUGUGAUGAAAGUUCAAUUGUGGUUGAGUUUUUAAUUCUUCAAUAGGUUUCAAUUUGGGUCAAAUAGAUUAUAGUAAGAGAUAACGCGUAAAUAGCAAAAUAGUAAAUAACAAACUAAAAUGUAGCAAAUUUAAGAAAUAUUAAGAUUUAUAUCAAAAACGCCGGUUGCUGAUUUUUUUUUUUUUACUUUUUUAUACCCAAUUAUACUCUUUUAUAUAAGACAGUUUAUUUCUCACAUAUAUACAAUGUAUUUGAAUAGAUCAAAAAAUGAGACAGAAGAUCACAGAUUCACUAGCACAAUGUAUUUGUUAACAACAUUCAACUUUGGUAAGUCUUAACUAAAUAUGAUAUUUUAUUGCUGAAGAAGAUUGCACUAACAUCUCUUAAAAAAUAUGGCUGUAAUUUCUUUUAGAUUUUCGGAUGCUUAGCAUUUAAAUCAAUCAAUUAACAAUUUAUUUCUAUAAUUCAUAAUAGAUAUAUUUAAUAACGAUUUGAAUUCAAAUUUUGGAUAAUACCCCUAAAAUAAUAGUAAAGAUAAAUUCAAUAAUUUGGAUUCUUUAUAUUUCAUACUAUUUAUCAAAAUUUUAUUAAAUAAUAUAUAAUACAUAUUUUUAAUAACAAUUUAAAUUCAGAUUUUAUACCAUCCGCUAAAAUUGUCAAUUUGAAUUUAAAUGUUACAUAAUAUCCCUAAAAUAUUGGCGAGGAAAAAUUCUUAAUAACAAUUUGAAUUUAAAAAUUAAAAUUAAAAUUGUUUAAUUUAAAAUUUAACAACUUAUAUUUAAAAAAAUAUAUAAAACAUUUAUUAAAUAAUACAUGAUACAUAUUUUUAAGGGGAAUUUUUAAAAUAGUAGAUUUUACAAAAUAUUUACAGCUAUAGAAAAUUAUAAUUCUAUCACUCAUAGUCAUUUACAAAAUUUUGUUAUAGCUCAUAAAUAUUUUAAUUUAUUUUGUUAUUUUAAAAAAUGCUUCUAUUUUUAAUAAUAGUUUGAAUUUUAAAAAAAUUAUUCGUGAUAAUUUCUAUUAUCAACUUAUUUUGGUUGAUUUUUAAUAACAAUUUAAAUUUAAAUUUUACAUCAACCCUCUAAAAUAAUGUAAAAAAUGAAUACACCAUUUUUAGGAUUUUUAUAUUCCAAACAAUUUAAUAAUAUUUUAAAUUCAAAUUUUAGAUCCCAAAAUAAUGCCAAUUACGAUUGUCCAUUUAUUUUUACCAAUUUGAUAACAACUUCAAUUUUCUUAAUUUAACCAAAUCAAUUUAAUUUAUUUUUACCAAUUUGAUAAGAACUUCAAUUUUCUUAAUUUAACCAAAUUGAUUUAUUGGUUAAGUUGGUCAGGUUUGAUUGUGUUGAUUUUCUAUAGAGUUACAAUGUACUUAUACAUACUUUCUAGAUUAGUUUCACAAUAUUUGACAUAAUGUAUAGCAUAUGUUGCUCACAAAAUUACAAUGUAAUUUUAUGCUUUUAAAUAAUGUGAUAAACUAGUCGUUCUAUAUUACGAUCACAUGUUCAAAUAUUAAUAUUUAUUUGCUCCUAUAAUAAUGUACUUUUGCAAUUCAAAACAGUUACCAUUAUAAUAAUGUACUUUUAAUUAAUGCGAUAAACUAGUCGUUCUAUAUCACGAUCACACGUUCAAAUAUUAAUAUUUAUUUGCUCCUAUAACCAUGUACUUUUGCAAUCCAAAAAAGUUACCAUUAAGAUAAUUUGUUACAAAACCAACAAUAAGAACUAUUUCCUAAAUAUUGACAUUGAAUCAUAAUCAUGGUUGUUUAAUUAACCGAACUUUAUAAUAACCCAUAGAAUUAAGAUUUUCCAAACAUAGUAUAUGUUGAGUAUGAAUGAUGUUAUAAACAACAAACUUGGGACACAAACAAAAAGUAAAAUUUUGGUCAUCAAGAUAUAGUAUCAUUCCAUUGGGUAUAAGAUAAUCAGAUAUUUCAAAUAGAGUGUAUUUGAAUAGCUCAAAAAAAGAGACAGGAUAUUAAAAAUAGCACGAAAACAAUGUAUUUUGCAAACAACAUUCAAAUUUGGUAGACUUAACUAAAUCUGUUAUUUUGUUGCUCGACAAGAUUGCAGCAACCUCUCCUAUAAUAAUGACAAAUAUAUCUACCAGAUUUUGAGGUUUGUUAUAUUUUAAACCAUUUAUUAGUAAUAUCAGUAAUUAUUACAAUUUCUUAAAUGACCUUAAAUAUAUUUUUUCCUCUCCCUUGUUUCUUUACCAAUUCAUUAAGCAUUAUAUCUUGUAAGUUAAUCACUAAGGAUAGUUUAAUUUUAACAAAUCACCAAUCUUAAAGACAUUUAAGUUGAAAAAUAAAUACUUCCAAAAUAUGUGUUGUUAAUAACAAUUUGAAUUUAAAAUUUUAUCAACCUUAAAUUCGUGGUUGAUGUCCCAAAAUAAUGGAAAACAUAAAUUCAACAUUUUUGGAUUAUUUAUAUUUUAAAAUAUUUAUAAAAAUUUGAAUUUAAAUACCUCAACAAUACAUAUUGUUAAUAACAAUUUGAAUUUAAAAUUUUAUGAUCCCCUAAAAUCAUGCUAAUUGGUUGGUUUUUAUUUUAAAAAACUAUUUUAUCGUGCAAAUUGCAUUGAAUAACUAUGUUGAGACAUUGUGUUUUUAAAUUACGUUAAUAUUCAUGUUUAUCUUCGUUAGAUGUUUUCUUUUUUGUGUUACAGUUUUUGUCAAAAGCUUUCAAAAUGGCUUUUAUGUUUAGGACAGAAUUGUAAUUAUACUUCAUCUCCUUCUUUAGGUCUUAUAAAUUAGAGAAAAGAAAAGAAGUAGGACAAAUAAGAAGAGGGGGCUGCAAGCUAAAAAAACACAGUAGAGAGAGUUUUUUCUAGCAAAAAAGAUUGAUAGAGAAGAGUGCAGUGCGGCGAUUUUCGGUGUUCCAACAUAAAGAGAGACGUUGGUCGACCGAGAGGAAGACGUCAGAGGUUUAGCCAUUGGGUUUUGAGGCAGACAAAAGCUAACGAUUUUGUGGCUUUACAACGGCUACAACGUUUGUUUCGAUAGCUUCGCGAUGGGUUUAACGACUGGUUAACUAUGGUUUUCGAGCUGACAGAGGUUGGUUUAGUCGUGGGUUCUUCUUGGGGCAAUCGACGCAAGUGACAAACAUAGUGAGAGAGAGUUUUUGUGCAAACAAGAGAGGAGAAAAGUACAAUCAACAAAGAGGAAAACAUCACAGUUUCAACGUCAAUGGCGAGAUGAACAUCUCAAAGUCUUUGGUCGGAGGAGGCGGCAAGAUGAAAAUCCUAAAGUCUCCAGUCAGAGGAGCCAACAAGAAGAAAAUCCAAGUAUGAAAACUUUGAUGGGUUUAAAGGAGACGAGUUGGAAGCUCCAAUAGAUUUUGAAAAAGUUUGAUUUUGAUAGGUGUUAAUUGUGUAUUGGGAGUUUGAUUUUAAUAAUUGGGUAUUUAUGGUUCUUUUAAUAAUUGUAUUUAUGAUUCAAUUUUUUCAGUUAGGUAGGAGCACUCGAGACAUUGUUAUAGCAAUUAUUUUUCCAUAUUUUUUCGAUUCGGUUAUUUUAUCAAUUUAAAUAAAAAUUUGUCAUUUAUUCAAAAUAAACCCAAUAUUUUUCUAUUUUUCUGGUCCGCCCUUGUAGUAAUAUUGAGUGGACUUCAAAAUUGAUCUAGGUUUGGAGAUGAUAGGUUGAGCUUGAGAAGACCAAAAUUUUGUUUGGAAUAAAUUGGAUCAUCUGGGUUGGGUUAAGUGAAGGAAAACUGCAGCUGAUGGAUGGAUUAUAUAUGAAACACAGUACAAUAAAUUCUCGAUCUUCCACCGCUAGUUUUAAAUCGUCAGAAGAAAUGGCAUCAGAGAUGUGGUAUCGUCCAACGCACCACCCUAACAUGCCUAAAUUACAAACUACUAGUUCACAUGCCUAAAUUACAUCACAAAAGAAAUAGAAAUAAUAAAUAUACGAAAGGCCAUUAAUUACAAAGAAUAAUAUACAGAUUAUUUUCAUAUAUAUAUGAAAAUAUUUUCCAAUAUCCCCACAAAUUGGUGAUUUGGUUUCUUUGUACGGUUGAACCAUUCUUGCCCCAUGUAGCUUAAUGUUAGACCGUCAAAUCUUUUGUUAGGAUUCCAACCUACCCAGAGGUACUCAAGAAUAAACAGACAGCUCAAGAACAACUAAUUAUGAAAAAAUAUUGUUAGAACUGAUGUCCAAAAGAAUUGUUGUUCCGUGACAAACCACUGUUCUAAAAACAAUUACGGUACAACCAUGGUACUAAACACGAUGUCGGUUGCUUUUCAAGGUUAACACAACUCUUCAACUUAAACGUAUACUUGUUGGAAUAAGGAAUAGAAUCAAGAAGCUAAAUUAUGCCAAGGGAUGAAAGUUGAGAUGAACCGACGAUAAUAAAAGGAGAAAAAAAGAAACGACUAGAAUAAUCCUAUAGAUAUGAUAAACAAAAAACAAAAAGGAGAAUAAUCCUAUCACUAGAAACACACUUUACUUUUACAAUUAGCAUGCAGUGAUAUUUAUACCCUCUACGUAGUACUAAACAGUUCAAUGUGUGGGACAAAAAUCUGUCUUAUCCUUUACUUAUGGGCAUAAGUCCAUAAAUCAUUUCAAUAAAUGCCCGCCAAGUGACUAUUACAACAACGUUAAGAAGUAAACAAAAGAAAACAAAAGUUUUAAGAAAUCUAUUCUGAGCUAAGAUAGGAGAUCAAGAUUAUGCAUCAAUAUAUUGUAAUGAUUUGAAUUGAUUGGUAGUGUUGCAAGACGACUAACAGAGCGAGUGAGUUACAAAGCAAGAUCUCAAAAUUGGGCAGCGAUCCUUCUCAUGCGUUUAAAACACGGGACUCAACUACUAUCUUCCUUGGACUCACAAAUGUCUUCUCUUCAGCCUUGACCCGAAUUGGGGCUUCAACUUCCACUCUUAGACUCUGCCCAAUAAGCAAACCCAUGAGUCCCCAUUUUUCCUUCUUCAUUUCCAUUGACGUUGUUCUUCUGUAAUGAUUAUAGCAACCUUUGCUUAAUUCACCUCCUCUGCCCAUAUAUAAGAUAAUAAGUUUAACAACCCCUUUUAACUUAGCUUGCCCCAAAUGAAAAACUCUUCAAAUAUUAAUCCUAUAAAUCACUAUCUUUCUUAAAUGAAAGAGUGGGAUUCCAGCAAUUCAAGCCUAUAACCCAGCAUGUGGCUAUGGGCCCAUAAUUUAUUUGUCUUCCUUAAAGAGUAACAUUGAGUUUCUACAAAUUGUAGUCCAUAUUCAAGCCCAACAUCCUACUCAAUUUUUCCUUUCCAUAUUCCUCCUCCAAAGUAACGCUUGUCCUCCCUCCCAUUUACAUUUUACUAAGUAAUAACCCACCUUUGGCUGCAUCAAAAUAGAAUAAUGGGCUGUGUUGUGAUUCUGUGAAGUUAAAUUCAACUCUCCCGCAAGCCCUUCGCAUUUGUUAAAACAAUAAAAAAAUUAGUUGUUUUUGUUACUUUGAACUACUGUAACUGAUACUUGUUUGAGAGUGAGUUAUUUUGUUAAAAACAUAAACAAAAUAACAGUUUUAAUUCUUGUAGCUUAAAAAGGAAGCUUAGUAGAAAAAGUGAUGUAAGAAAAACUCAUCUGUAUUUUUUUGGCUUUUUGAAAACAUUUUCAUCUUAAAUAAUCUGUUGAAUAAAAGUGUGCUUGGAGACUUUGAAGAGUUCAUGUAAGCAAAUUUGUUGAACAAACCAUAGUUGUAUGUUCUUCUCAUUCUCUUCGUGCUCCAUUGAUCUUUGGAAGGCCAUUGUUGAAACUCUCAUCCAUCUUUUCUCUCUUGGUAACAUGCAAAACAAAAGGAAGAAAAUAAUUAAUAUACCUAAAGGUAGAGAACGUAGGUUUUGUAAUAAGGGUCAACCAUAAGAAUAUCAAUCUACAAUUUGUCAUUUAGAAAAAUAGCAAAACUGUUUUUUUUUUUCUUUUAAAAAAGGGCAAAACGAAUAAAAAUACAAUAAAUAGAAAUAUAAUCCAAAAUGCCCUUAGAUAUAUAGAAUGCCAGCUACUUUCUAAAGCUAAAAUAAAGUCUAAUUACACUAAUAAAUUCUCGAACAUAAUUAUCCUUACAUGUCCAAUCAAACUUAGAAUCCUUUUAAUCUUCACUUUCUAGCACUCUUGCAGUCAUCUUCAUUUUCCAUUUUCUUUUUCGAUAAUUAUUCAUAUCAAAGUCUUCAAGUUACAUAUUUAAUCUUCAAAUUACAAUUCCAUUAUUCCAUCUUCACCAAGCAGGCAAAACCUAAUCUCCACCCUCCAUUUUGCAAGUUACAAUUCCAUUUGAAGUACUUCAUCCUGCAUUUUUAUCUUCUUGUAUUUAAAACAUAAGAUUUUAUUAACUUCAUAUUUUUCACCAUCUUAAGGAAAAAUAUUUAAUUUAUAUUAGUAAUAUUUUAUAUAGAUUUUAGAGCGGUUUUAUCUAAAAAACGCAACAUUUUUGGGAUAUUUUGUUGGGAUAAAAAAAUAGAAUAAACCAAAAUUCAUUUAAAAAUCCUGAACAAUAGUGUUCUCUAAUAUUGAUUUGAGGUCAAGAUACCAUCCAUUCAAGGUUUGGGAAGUAUAUACUCUUAAGACAACAUUCAAAACGAGGUAUGGGCAAUAUGAGUUUUUAGUGAUGCCAUUCGAUUUAACAAAUGCACCUACAGUUUUCAUAGACCUCAUGAACAAUAUUUUCCAUCAUUAUUUAGAUUAGUUUGUGAUAGUGUUCAUUGAUGAUAUAUUAGUUUACUCAAUUGAUAGGAAAGUCCAUUAGGAAAAUAUGAGGAUUGUUCGAUAGACAUCACGUGAUAAAUAGUUGUAGGCUAAGUUCAACAAAUGUGAGUUCUGGUUGAAACAAGUAGUGCUCUUAGGGCAUGAAGUUUCAACAAACGAAGUUAGUGUUGAUUCGUAGAAAGUGAAAGAUGUUGUCAACUGAGAGAGACGAACUAGUGCAACAGAAGUACAUAGUUUCCUAGGCCUUGCAGGAUACUACAACCAUUUUAUUGAGGAUUUCUCACCAUUUGCAUUACUCUUAACAACUUUGACAAGAAGAAUGCUAAGUUUGAGUGGUCGGAUAAUAUGAGACUUUCCUUUGACAAAUAAUCUCAUCUCCACUAUGUUGAUCUUUUUUAGAUGAACUGUGAGCUUCCUCUGGUACAACAUCCAUAAGCUCACUAAUACUCGAAACACACAGUCUUCUUUUCUUAACUAUGACUUCAUAUAUUCUCAACUCAAACUCUACCUCUGAGCCUUACUUUCAUGACUUUCCAAGUAUAUUAUGUAAGUUACUAUCCUCUAGUUAUCUUCUCACAAUCUCUACUACUAGAGAAGACCUAACCUGAAAUUAAGCUACAAGACUCAUUGUACUCUCUACAGUCAUAGCCCUAUUAAAGCCUCUUAACUCACUUAUCAAACUUGCUCGAAUGCCAUACAAGGCACUCUUUGGAAGUCUAGACUUCAUAUUGAAUGCAUUUGCUACUAUGUUAUUCUAUGGUAUUCUAUGGUACAGUCACAACUUAUAAUCAGUUCUAGCCAUCACCUCUAUCUUAAAUUAAACUCUUUGAUCAAAGAUAUACUUCAGACUCUUACCGAUAUGUAAAAAUGUGGCACACUUCUCAUCGAAUAAAUAAUUUCUCUAGAUUUUCAUUGCUAAAACAACUAGUGCUAGCUCAAGAUCAUGGUUAGGGUAAUUAUAUUCAUUGUUCUUCAACUGUCUUGAAGCUUAGCUAUUAACUUCCCUUCCUACAUAAGGGUAUAACCUAAUCCUUGGGCUCGAGGCGUCACAAUAGAUCAUGUACUCCUUCUCUAUUUCAUGAAGUGUCAUAAUAGAUGCUAUGACUUGAAUCUCUAUCAAAACAAGGCAUCCUACCUGAUGAAACCAGUAAGAAGCUGUCUUUUUGUAAACAUUGUGUGUUAGGGUGAAAGCAAGAAAAAAAUACUUCUCCAAAGCCCAACACACUACUAAAGGAAUCCUUGACUUCAUCCAUUUGGAUCUAUGAAGACUAUCCUCAACUCCAAGCCUAGGUGGCUCAAGGUACAUUUUAUCCUUUACUGGUGAUUUCUUUAGAAAAAGUUGGAUUUAUUUUCGAAAAACUAAAAACGAAGUCUUGAAAAAAAAAAUUAAAAUGGAAAUUGAUGAGAGGAAAACAAAAAGAAAAAGAUAUUAAAUAUCCUAGAACCUAUGAUGGUUUGGAGUUUUGUGGAGAGGAUUUCAGUGCUUUUUGUAUGAAAAAUGGAAUUACAAAACUUAAGACAAUAAGAUACACACCACAACAAAAUGGGGUGGUCAAAAUACUUACAAGAACUAUCGUGGAAAGAGUAACAUUCCCAUUAUCUGUUUCCUGUUUCCUAUUUCCUAUUUCUUGUUUCCUAUUUCUUGUUCCAUGUUUCUUCUUUUUUGAUAACAAGAUACAAGAAUGUGUUUGAUAACUAUUUCUUGUUUCCAGUUUCUUAUUUCUUGUUUUCUUAAUUAUUUCCUACAUUUGUCGACUCACAUCUAAUUCAAUUAAAUAUUAACAAAAAUAUAUGUCGAUAGUUAAACACUUCUUCUCUACCUUGAGGGCAAUGUCUCAUUUCUUUAAAAUCUACCUCACUAACUUUAACGAUAUUUACCAACAAUAAAUCAUUUUUGGAUUUCAACGGUAUUUUGUCAUUUGUAUAAGUUCUAAACAUUUUACACAUUAGCUUGAAUAUGAGAUUGAAAUUGAAAGAAUGAAACUUUCUAUAAAAGUUGAGAUGGAAAACAUCUUUAAUCCUUACAUUUAUAUUUAUACGAAAAAAUACUUAAUACCACCUUUGGUUUUAUAUAUAAAAGAACAAAGACAACCUAAUAGAAAGUUAAAAUGUUUGAAUUUAUACAAAAAUGGUGCUAUAUUCCAAAAUUAUGGUUCAAGAUUACAUUUUUUAAGCUCUUGAAACUCACCAAACAAAGAAGAAAAAAAAGCAAAAAAACAAUAUCCUCAUAUUUUCUUCUAAAAUGUUGGGCCAAACAGAUAAACUUUAGCAAUAAUUUUAGCAUAUAAACUUUAGAUAAAAGAGAAAGAGAACAAAAAGAGAGUCAAAAUCUAAGCAAUCCAACCUCAUUUCAACAUUUAUAAAACUUCAGAUUCAACCAAGAACUUAGCUAAUACAAGAUAAAAAAGAAUGGGAAAUAGAAUGGUAUACUCAGAUGACAAUGGAGAUUAUUAGGUUCGAUUCUGACAGUAAAGUCUCCUCAAUAGAUUUCAGAAGAGGAAGCUCUUUAUCCUCAUUGUAACCCUUCAAGUUCCCAAGAAAAAACUCAAUCGCUCUUUAUACGAAAGUGUAAAAGGAAAAAAACAAAUUUUUCUUGAAGAGUAAAUGGAAACGAGAGAGAAAGACAGAUUCGAAAAGAUCAAUUCUGCAUUCCAAUCUAUUGAGCUUGAUCUUUCAUGAAAUCAUCAAAGCCACUUGUUGUAUAUAAAACCAACAAAGGAAAAUCCAAAGGAAUCCAACCCGUAUGCAUCCUGAACUCGUUAUAUGGUAUGCGACGCGACUGGAGCAACCCCAACACCUCAAAGGAAACGCCAGAAUGCUCAUCAACUUAACUCUUUAAAAAAAAAAUGUACUUUAAAAUUUAGGCGACAAUAACAUCUUAACGCAGUGGAUUGAGUUAAACAACUUCUUUAUUAAUUCAUCUUCAUGCACUCUACAAUACAAUUUACACGCUCCUUAAAUAUAACAAAUAUAUAACAAUAAUCUUAAAACGCCUUGCACAGCUUCACAAUAUGGUAGUUCGCCCUCCUUAUUCCAACCUUGGCCUUACAAGCUGGUGACCUAAGGAAGGAAAAACUUUAAAACGUACGUAAAAACUUAAUGAGUGAUAGUUUUGGAAAACCUUUUUGGACAUAUAAAUACAUGAAAUUAUUUUCAUAAACACGACUUUCAUCACCUCAUUUCAUAAAACAGAAAUACUCAUUAGUCCUUCAUAUUCCUUUCCACCAAGAACAUGAACCAUUCUCAUGCAUAGAUUACUGUGAUGUCCUUUUCAUCAACAUCAUCCUUUGGAGAAUAUAUAUCCUAAUUCAUUUCUCGUUGCUCAAGCCGCUAAGCUCAAUAUGCUCAUUUUACGCAUCGGCCAACUUCACUCCACUAUGCAGUUCUUUUCUACAUGGUUGUCUUUGCUCCUUACGUCCACAUAAUAGUUAGUCCAUUGAGAGGAAUAAGACUAAUGCACACAACAUAGCACACAAUCAAUAACAAUAGGUUUACUUGAAACAAAACACAACUUUCUUAGAAAUCGUUUAUUUCAUAUGAAACGUUACAAGUCAGCUAGAAAUUAUAAGAAAGCUUUAAAAUCUUUAAACAAAAUCAUUCACAACACAAAUUCUGUCUUUAAAACGUGUGGAUUCCCAAAGACAUUAUUCUCGCCUAGUGAGUUUCCUCUUAGCAGAAUAAGUUCAAAUAUUUCAACAAAAACCCUUUUUACCAUAAACCUUUGUUCUUAUUUAUACUAAUCCCAACUUGGAUUGGUCAUCACUAAUUUCUUUAAGCUUGACAACUCCUACUUAAAGUAAUCCAUAUGCUUUUCAAACCAUGUGGAUUAGCUUAAGUACCAUUAGAAAAUUUUCCAAAAAUUUCCUAACUCUUCAACAUCUGAUCUUAUCUCACGCUUUUCCCUCAAAAUGCCUAUCAUCCCUUACUUGCAGAUUCUUUCCUCAUGCUAAGAUCUUCAUAAUGCGACUUAUCAAAACACCUAUUUUAUAAAGAUUUCUUCCUAUAUCAAAAUCCUUUAUUUAUUGGUCAUGUUGAUGAAAAGGAACGAGAAAUGUGAGACAGCUUUUAAGCGUCAAGUAAAGCUAGUUUUGUAGUAGUGAUGACUUCCAACAUUGCGUAGAUCCUUCCACAUAUGAGUUUCAAUUGCCAUCAUUUUCUGUUUUUCUGAUAUUUUCUUUAUUGUUUUCUUUUUCUCUGCUUUGAUAUUUGCUAGUCUUUUCUCCUCUUUUUCUCUAUUUGUUUUUAAUGAUUCAAUAAGUGUUUGUUGCAAUGUUCUAACCUACAGAUGUCCACUAGAUGGAACAGGAAUGAGGGGAUGUCACUCCCUAUCCCCGUCCCUACAAAUUUCUUUUCCCUCGUCCCCAUCUGCACCCCCUAUUCCAUUCCCCAUUCCCCAUUCCCACAAAUUUUCCCAUGGGAAAAUAUUUCCCGCUUUUAUGUUUUUAUAAAUAAAUAGAAAUAAAAAUAAAUAUAGAGGUCUUUUAAAAAAAUAAAUACUUACAUUGUAUAGAAAAAUUUUGAAAAUGAAAAAAGCUCAAAGGUCCACAAUAUAAAGUACUAAAACUACUUCAGUCAAGACAUGACAAAUUGGUCACAUGUGCAUGAUACACGAUUGUGUAGAUUUUAAUACAAGAUCUUAGGCAUACCAUAUCUCAAGAUGCCCCUAGAUGAAAGAAUUAUUCCUUUAGUUAUUGUACCUCUGGCCUUAGUUGCACUGAGAUGGUCUAAAAUGUUAGAAUUCUGUCUUUAUUUUUUGAUCUUAGGCAUACAUUAUCCUGAGAUGCCUGUAUGUCUCAGGAUGAAAGACUUCUAGCUUUAGUUAUUCGAUCUCGAACAUACAUUGCCCUGAGUUGACUCAGGAUGAAGGAAUUCUUCCUUUAUUUUAUUCAAUCUCAGGCGUACAUUGUCUCAAGAUGUCUUGAGAUGAAAGACCUCUGCCUUUAAUUAUUCGAUCUUGGCCUUAAUUGCAUCAAGAUGACCUGAAAUGAAAGAGUUCUGCCUUUAUUUUAUUUGAUCUUGCCUCGAAAUGUCAUCGAAUGAAAGUUUUUUGUCUUUAGUUAUUCGAUCUCGGGCCUUAAUUGCACCGAGAUGGCCUGGGAUUAAUAGAAAUAUACAUGUGUGUGUGUGCGUUUUUUUCUUUCGAGGCAGGGUCGCGACCAGGUUCCGAGAAUGUAUUCCCCAUCCUUAGUCGUGAAUUGUUAAUAAAAAAAAAAAAAAAUCCUUAGUGCCUCUCCCAUUUUCCUCCUCGUUGUUGUACCUCUAACAAUACUUCAUUAAAAAAAAACACUAUUAAAUUUGAUGUUCCAAGAUGAGCAAUGGCUUUGUAAAAAUUGUUAGGAUCUCAACCUAACAAGAGAUACUCAAGAACACACAAACGGAACUCAAGAACAAUCAAUUAUGAAAAGCAUAUUUGAAAUAAAUGUUAUAACAUCAAAGAACAAGUAACUUGCUCUUUGCGAGGACUAGACUCUCCCAAAUCCCCCACAAGAAAAUUGAUCCACACAUAAAAUUCUUCAUACUCUUUCCCAAUCCCUCUCCUUGAUCUACAAUCCCUCUCCUUGAUCUAUUUAUACUAAAAAAGAACUAACUAACUUUCUAACUAUUUACUAAUAUAUAUGUUCCCAACUAAUAACCAUAUUAAUUUUCAACUGAAUAUUCCUUUUAUUCUUUAACUAGGGAUCUCACAUCUUCUUACCAAAUGGCUAGGUCCCUACUAGCUAACUAUAUUAAUUUACAUCAUGUAAUUUAGAAUCAUUCUUUUAGCUGCUUAGGUGAAGGAUAUUAUCGAGGCCAACUAGACUAGCUUUUUUGGGUGCUUACAAAUAUCUUAAGGUGUCAUUUCGGACUUAAAUGUAAUUUAGGCUGAAUGUGCAUUUAUAUUUAUCAAUAAUCAAACUUUAUGUCCUUAAUUCUACUUGUUGGGGAUUUUUGAACAUUCAUAAUCUAGAUAUAUAAUCGAGGCAUUACAAAACACAUGCAAUCAUGUUAUGUCAGAUCAUCAUACUCGUACCAAAGUUUAAAUACAAAUAACAAUUUUCGACUUUUGUAAGAAUGCAAGAGAUAUAUAUUGCACACUCAUGCCACUUGACAAGCGUUUCUUAACUAAUAUACUAUUUCUUAUGGAAAAUCUCUUAGCACACUCAUUUUGAGAUGUUUGCCCUCACUAGGUGUGUAAUCGGGUUGGGUUGGGAGACAUUCUCAACCCAACCCAUACUUUUGGGUUAUAUGGGUUGGCAACCCGAAUUUAGUUUCCAACUCAAUCAGUAAAAAUAUGGGUUAGGUUGGGUUAUGUUGUUUUUUUUUUUUUUCUUUCUUCGUUUCUACUUUCUAACGAAAACGAAGGUGGAUGGCACGAUUGUGAGGGAGAAGACCGAAGAGGGAGAAGAUCGACCGUCGAAAAUGGAGGUGGACAACGAGAUUGUGAGGGAGAAGACAGAUGACUGAGGUGAGAUGGAAGAGAAGAAUCGAACACAAUGAAAAAGGGUGAACAGGACGCAAGGGAAAGAAAAUUGAAGAGGGAGGAAGACCUUAAUUUUUAGAUUUUAUUUUAUUAAAUAAAUAAUAUAUAAAUAUGAAUAUAUAUACAUAUAUUAUAUUAAUUUAGGUUGGGUUGGGUUGACCCGAAUUUUUCAAUCGUCCAACCCAAGACCCAACCCAACCCGAAAAUAUUAAUUUUUUUUAAUCCAACCUAACCCUUACAAUAUGGGUUGGGUAGUACGGAUUAUCUGAAUUCAACCCAUAUUUUUACACCUCUAGUCUUCACCGUGGAUGAUCAUUUUCACCACGGUGGCUCAUUAGACCAUAGAGCAAGUUAUGGCUUAUGGCGGUAGAGAGAGCCAACACAAUGUAUUUCCCUUUAGAUCAUUUCAAGGUACAAAGUUGGUUUCAGCCCUCAAAUGUUGUGAGGAGUCACUCACUAGUGUGAAUACCACAUUUGAACUAUGAUUAAAAAAUUGAUGUGGUUGCUUUCUUCACUCAUGUGUCGUCAACUCUAGAUUCACCCGUCCAAACUUCUAACAAAACUCUGACUUUUAGGAGAGAAAUGACCCUAAGGAUAUCAGGAGGAGUGAAGAAGAAAAAGAAUAUAGAAAUGAGUAAAACAAUAAUAAACAACUAUAGAGGCAAUAGUGCAAGUAAUAAGGAAUACAUAUAUUACUUUGUACGUGACACGGAAGAAAUUAUAAAGUACUGUUGAGAGAAGCAGCCUAUUGCUAUAGUAGAAUUGAGACAUGUUACACCAAAUUCUUAUACUUAUAUUAACUAAUUUUAUCCGUGUAAAGUUAUAUAUUUGACAAAUGUGAUGUGAUAUUUGUGUGUACAUUGAGGGCAGUGCCCACUUUUCCUGAACACAUAAAUAAUGUUAAGUGAACAAUUGUAUGUAACUAGUCGUACCAUAUUAGACAUACACUUUUUAUAUUAUUAUAAGUAAAAAAAUAUCAUAAUUAAAGCUAAAUUUAACCUCUAAAUCGAAGUUUUGUGACUAAUAAAUCUCAAAUUUGUAAAUAAAUGUUAGAUAAAUAUUCUUGAUUUUUAAUUUUGUAUAUCUUUUGACGAGUACUACAACUGAACAUUUUAAACUUUGUAUAUCAUAAAUCACGAAUCAUGAUAUAAAGGAUAUAAUAUAUUUUUUUAAAGAGGUAUUUAAUGUUCCAUAUUGGUAAAUGUAUAUCAUUUUGUAACGAUGUUUAAUAAUCUCGAUAAAAAUUAGAUUUUUUUCAAUAGCUACUAUAAAUAUAUAUCUUUCUAAACGGUCUUUAAUAAUCUAAUUUCAAAGGUUACGUUCAACAAAUAUCUAUUCUUCAACUUUAUAUUUAAUAUAUUAUUCAUAAAUUAAAAAAACAAAACAAAAGCUGAAUACAGUAUGGUAUUAUUAUAGACACGUUUUUAAAGAUCAAGUGCUCUAUUAGAAGUAUUUGAACACGUUUGGAAGACUUGGAACUGAGUUUGUAAGGAAAGAAACAAAGAAAGAAGAAAAACAAAUGGCAAAGAAGAUGAUGAACGUGGAAGAAACAUAGAAAUCUCCAUAGCCAUUAAAAGCCACACCAUACAACCUUCAAAAUUCCACGUCUCAUCCAUGCAUUGCUCUCUUAUUCCUUCAAAUACUCAUCCUUUCAGCCACCACUUUUCUCCCCUACUCUCCUCUUUAAACAUUAUACUCAAGCCCAUAUAAUGAUGUCUACUAAACCACUAGUUUCCAUCCUCCUCCUUUCCCUCUUCCUCUUCGCCGUUGCUGCCUCCGACCACCAGUUCGACGAUGACAACCAAAGCCAACGCCCUUGGUUGCAAAGGUGCCGUCAGCAGGUUCUCGCCUUUCCAGUUCUCUUUUAUUUAUAGUUUCAUUUAUUCGGUUAAUUGCUAUUUUUUAUUUUUAUUUGUAUUCGUUGGGAUGAGAACAUGCAUACAAUCCACCAACUAGUUUGCUUGUGUUUUUGUUAUUUUUAAACAAAUAACUACUUUACUUUAAUAUUGUUCAAAAUUAAUUAUUUUGGUAUUUUCUAUACUUUAUUUAAAUAUAUAUUUCAUAAAUUAUUUAGAUUUCAUUUGCUAUUAAUAACUAUUUGUUUUUUUGUUUUUAUUUUUAAAAGUUAAGCUUAUCUUUUCUCCAAUUUCUUACGUUAAAAUGUUGAAUUUUUAGCUAAAUACUAAAAACCAAAACUAGCUUAGAACUUUAUAUAUUUUCUUAACUUUCAAAAAACUAAAAUGGUUUUAAAAAAUAUUGGUGAAAAAAUAAAUAAUGAAAUUAUAAAUUUAGACAUGAAAGAAAGGUUAUUAUAAAAUUUUCAAAAAAUCUAAAAACAAAAAAACUAUGACUCCUUUUUUAACUAAAUUAUAUAUAUAUAUAUAUAUAUAUAUAUAUAUAUAUAACUUUUUAAAUACCAUACUAAAGUUAUAUUGGCAAAAAUGUACAAAAAAAAAAUAUCCAACCAAUGUAAGCAAAUCCAAACGUCACUUUUCAUAUAGAACCCAAGAUUACUUAAAUCCCAAACCCAAGAUUACUUAAAUCCCAAAUUUUGAAAACUAAGAAAACACAUAAAUUUAAAAAUAAUUUUGUUUUAAGAAUUUAACUAACAAUUCUUAACUCUUUGAAAAAGAGGAAAAAUAACUUGUUAUUCACCACACAAAUGUUUUAUUUUACUUUAUGUUUACCAACAAUCAAAUGUAACACCUACCAUGUCGCUAAAAAUGUGACAGAUUCGAAGCGGCGAACGGCUGCGCCACUGUGAGAGGUUACUGACACAGCCCCGCCGCUUCCGGCUGCUGUUAGCAGCGGAGGAAGAGGAAGACGCAGUGGAACAUCUGGAGGAAUGCUGCCAGCAGCUGAAAGGGAUGGACGAUGCAUGCCGGUGCGAGGGGCUUCGUCAGAUCGUGCAGCGCCGUAGGCAGCAAGGCCAGCUGCAGGGGGUCGAUGUUGGACAAAUGCUGGAAAGAGCUACAAACUUACCGUCGGUCUGCCGUCUCAGCCGACGCCGGUGUGACCUCCGAUCAACCACUCCAUUGUAGAAUAAGAGGAAAGAAAAGAGAGAGGAGAGAGAGAGCCCAUUGAGGUUGAACAAUCUGAAAAAUGGAGUAAUAAUCAAUAAAAUAUGAAGGCUCCCCAACUUAGAGGGAGAUCUGUGUACUAAUGUUUUAAAGAAACAUCACUUAGUUUCUUUUUUUUCUUUCUUCUUUCUUUCUUUUUAUUUUUAUUUUUGGUUUAGUUUUCUUUUCUUUACCUUUUUUUCUUGGGGUUUUUGUUUUGUUCUGUGUGCUGAAAUCGAAAUAAAUCAAAAUAAGUCUUAGACUCUACUGGGAAUAAAUAUCGUUGAAUCUUAAUUAUUUAGUUUACUUCUUUUAAUUUGGUUGAAUCUUAAUUAUUUUUGUUUACUUCAUUUAAUUCAUCUCUUUCAAACUAUUUUUUCUAAUUUUAAAUAUCAAGUAACUAUUUUUUUUAAAAUCAACAUACUCGGGUUGAGUUGAGUUGGAGAACGUUUUCAACCCAACCCAUAUUUUCAAGUUGGUUGAAUUGGAACUUAAAUAACCUCAAUUGUAUUUCUAUCCAAUCUCGAGUUAGAUUGAGUUGGCAGGUUGUAUAUAUAUAUAUUUUUUUUUCAUUUUUAAUGUUUGCAAAGUUUAUAAUUGUUGUACCUCGAUAAAUACACACAUCCAAAAAUUUAAACAUCCAUAAAUUCAAAGUUUCAAACAUCCAUAAAAGUUUAACAUUCCAAACAUUAUUCAUAAAUAUUAAAUAAAUAUAUAAACAUUUUUAAAAAUAGCAAAAUAAAUUAAAAUUUUGGAUUCUAUCACGGAUAGUCUUCUAUCACUAUAACAUAUCACUGAUUGAAUUUGCUAUAGGUGGUAAAUAUUUUGUAAAAUCUAUUAUUUUUAAAAAUUUUCCAAAAAUAUAUGAUAUAAAUAAAUUUAAUUUAUAGGGACAUUUUUAAAAAUACUAAAUAAAUUAAAAUAUUUACAAACUAUAACAAAAAAUUUUGGAUUCCAUCAAUGAUAAAAACUGAUAGAUUUUUAUCACCGACUAUAAAUGUUACUAUACAAAAAUAUCAAUGUUUAUCAAAUAUUUGUUGUUGAUAGAAUUAGAAAUUUUGCUAUAGCUUAUAAAUAUUUUGUCAAAUUUGCUAUUUUUGACAAUUUUUUCUCUCUAUAUAUAUAUAUUAUGAGUAAUAAGGGUUGGAUUAGGUUAAAUCGAAUUUUUCAACCUCAAUCCGAGACCCAACCCAACUCGAAAAAAAUCAAAAUUUUCAACCCAAACUUAACUCAUGUAAUAUGGGUUGGGUGUUACGGGUUUCGACUUAUUCAGAUUAUUCUUACACCCCACUUAGGACAUCUUAAACUUACUUUUUAAAAAGGGGCUCUUGCAAAUAUGACAAAAUUAAUUUGAUAAAUUAGGCUUAUACCACACAAAUUGUAAAUUUGUAAAAAUAAGUCCAGUCACAUUUGAGAAAUGCAAAAUUACAAACCUACCCUAUAAAAUUAUAAAUCAUUAGUUUGUUACAUUUAAGUUAGCCACAUUAAACAUUUUUUACAUGUUUCUUCUUCCCUUCAUGUCUCACUAAUACUUCAUCGAUACACAUCAUUUGUUUGAUACAUUUGAUAUGUUGUUGAUACCUUGAUGCAUUUUUUAUACGCUUGUUAUGCUUUGCUAAUACAUCUGAUGAAUUAAUUAAAUAAUACUUGAUACACAUCAUUGGUUUGAAUAUACAUUGGAUAUGUUAUUGAUACAUUUGCUAAACUUUGCAAAUACACUUAAUCAAUUAAAUACACUUGAUGUACUAAGUAUGAUACAUUUAAUAUAUUGUCGGUACACUUAGCUAUUAUGGUUUGUUCAUACAGUACUUGAUGGGUUUAAUACACUACCGAAAAUAUAUUUUAUACUUUACUAAAAUCCUCGACAGAUUUUAUAAAACUAACUUGAUGCAAUUCAUAUGUUUGAUACCCUUGAUGUACUGAUAGUACACUUUCUAUAUUACUAAUACACUCGAUUGAUUAAAUACAUUUGAUACACUUAUGGUUCUGCCGAUACACUUAAUAUAUUUCACUAUUACACUUCGAUACAUAUUAUAUGUUUGAUAUACACUUGAUAUCAUGUUGAUUAUUAUGCAUUAUUUGUAAUAUGAUCAACUUGAUUAAAUGAAUCAAUUUCAAUUUACUUAAAUAGGUUAAUGCUAAAGAGAACCUUGAAAAUAAAGUUCAAUAAGUUGACAACAAUAGAUUCAAUUGUCAACACGAGUUUCAAUACGUAAUAUCAAGUUCACAAAAUAAUCAAACAACAUCACUCCAUCAACCAAAACACAAUUGUUUUGCAAUCCACGUAGUAUGUCACUCAUCCCAUUAACCACUAUGAAACAUAAUUAUUGCAAGCUUAACCAUGACUACGAUCAACUGCAAAAAAUUAAAGAAAAAAAUAGAUAGUAUGUACAUCAGUCAAAUAAUACAUAUAAUAUAAGUGUAUCACAACACUGAUAUACAAAACUGAUGAACAAAAUAAAACCAAAAUAGAACCAACAUAAAAAAAAAAUAAUAAUAAUUAGAAAUUAGAUUUAACUCCAAAAUUCACACCAAAGAAAAUAGAGAAUAAUAACAUAUAAAGUUAAAAUUUUCAUAUCAACAACUAUUAUAUAUCAAAUUUCAACUAACACUACAAGAAAUCGAAGUUUUUUCGAUGAAGAAAAAUGCGUCGGACAAAGGAACAUCGACAAACGGAGUUUCUUCCGACGUAACAAGAAUAAUUUCGAAAGAGGGCCUUUCUCCUGACGCUGCCAAAUGAACAUCGAGCAAAUGUGGCCAAGCCCCAACGUGAUUCAUGUACACAUCGGAACUACCUUAGUUACUGUCGACGUCUACUAUAUGGCAUCGAAAGAGGUGAAAGAAUUAAAUGCAUAAUUGGCUUUCCUCCAACGUGAUGUCGGAGGCAUCAAGAAAAUGGAUUCACAUUCCUAAUGUCAUUAGUUAUAUGUCAGAAAUGAGAGGGUUUCCCUGACACUUUCGAGAUGUGUCGAGUAUUUCCCUUUUAAUAAACUCAUUCUCAUUCAUGAUGUAAAUUACAGAAUUGAAAGAGAAGAAGGAAAACGAGAGAGAGAGAGAGACUAAGAAGAAGAGAUCUUUCAUCGUCCUGUUGUCGUCGAUCCCCGUCGCUCGUUGUCGUUCUAUCAUCGUUGUCUUCUAUCGAUUCUACUAAUUUAGGUAAGUACUUUUGUUUUAUAUUAGUUUAGAUUUAGUUUAUUUUUAUUUAGAUUAUAAAUGAUGAUUUAGGAAUAAGAUUUUGAAUUUGGUUUUAGAUUUGGAUUUUGAAUUAGUUUUUGGAGUUCAAUUUGAAUUUUAUUUGUUUUUGGGAUUCAUGAAUUAGUGUAAAUUUGAGGGGUUGUUGAAUUCAAAGUUUGAAAGAGUGAGGGGUUGAAUGAAUUCAAACCGUAAGGGGGUUAAAUUAAAAAUUGAAAGGGGUUGAAUUGAAAAUUAGAGGGAAAGGUUGAGUUUGGUUGAAUUGAAAUUUUUCACGAGAGUUGGAUUGAAACAGGUGAAUUGAAAUUUUGUAGGAGGGUUGGAUUGAAACUUGGAGAGAGAGAGGGUUUGUAAGAGGGGGUUGAAAGGGAUGAGAGAAGACUGUAUUGAAUUGAAAAUUUUGUUUUGGCUAUUGUGAAGUUAUGAUUACCUUUAUUUCAAACUUGAUUGUUGUUUAUUUUUUAAUAGUUUUGUUUGUUAGAACUAUUAGGAAUUUGUUAUUGAUUUCUUAUGGUUAUUAUGGAGUUAUGGCAACCUCUUCUCUUUAGUGCAAACUUAGUUUUGAAUUUGUUAGAUGAUAGUAGUUUGUUUGGUUAGUUUGUUCUAACUACAGUUAUGGUAGCCUUUGUAGUUUAAACUUAGGUUAAAAGAUUGGGAGGAUUGGAAAUAGCUAUUCAUGAACUAAUUAAAUUUAGGGUUUGAUGGGAGGAAUAUAGGACUAAUGAUCAAACAUAUUAUUUACUUGCGGUACGUAUUUUUGAGCAGUAUCGUUGUUUACGUUGCAUUAUAUAUAUAUCUUUUUUUUUUUUUUUCAUUGUGUAGGUGUGGACUUGUUUAAUUAUGGCAUUCCCAAUUAAGUUAUAUUAAUUUUUUUUAUAUAAUUUUUUAACAAAUUGAGAAGUGUUAGACAAUGUAAUAUUUUUUAAUUACAAUGUAAUUUUGAUUUGGCAUUUUGUAUAUUUAUUUACUAAUUUUGGUUGUUCAUUUUUUUGUAAUUUUAUUGAAUUUAAAUCGAAUUGGAAUUGAACAUAAUAGUGCACAAUCAAAAUAAGAAAUUAAAAAAAAUCCUCAAACCGUUCCCGACGCAAAUAGUGCAUCGGAAAAUAGGUCUUCCCUCCAAAAAUGCAUAAUGACAUCAGAGAUAGUUUUCAUGAUGUAACGUCGGCCAAACUCUUCUCUCGACAUAGAAAUCUACGUCAAGAGAAGAGUUCUCUAUUUCCUGACACGAUUACGUCGUCGGCACAACGUGCCUCGGGUGAAGGGCAUUACCAACGCGUGUUUCUUCUUUCGUCGGGAAUAGAUCUCCUGAUAGGAAUUUUCGACAACCAUUCCUAUGUGGGACAUUACGUCGGGAGACUGUUUGCCGACACAAUUUGUAACCUUACCCGAUGCCAUCUUGCAUCGAAAAACUCCCAACUUGUUGUAACGUAAUGUUGCAUGAGAUUGAAUAAAAAGUUGGCAAAGUAAAUAAAAACUGCUUUCUAUUUUUAAUUUUAAAGAAAAUAGAAAAACACAAAAAUAACAAAUAAUAAAGUAAUAAAAAGAAAAAUGGUAGGAUCCACUAUUCUACAACGUAACUUUUACCAUUUUCUCUUUCUGCACUUCUCCUUUGUUCUUUUCCUUCUUCUUUAUCCUCCCUUUCUUUUCUUCUGCUUCUUUCCUAAACUUCUUGUUUUACCAUCCUUUUGUUAGUAUUACUGUCGUCAAAAUUGGUGCUCCAACACAAAUUCAACAUGCAAGUCUUACACAUCAUUUUGAAACUCCUAUUUUGUCAUGCUUCCAAAUUAAACUUAUUCGUGCUCUCAUUGUUGUCGUCCUUUUUGGUCAAGUUCUCAUCCACAACGUCAAAACAUUUUUCUCACCGUCAAUCGAAUUUAGGGUAAUCAUGGUAUUGAAAACUGUGAUGCUCCAAAAGAAAAAGAAAUGGUAAAAAUGGGAAUUAAAAAUACAAAAGUCUGAAUUUGAUAGAAAAUCACAAACCUUAAACGUUUUUGGCAAAGUACCUAAACUAUUUUGUCAUCCAAUACAAUUUCUCUUUUAAAAACUUGUGUAAACUACCAAGAUAUAAUUAUUAAAAACUCAGGGACGAAACACUCUACUCGUCAAAACAUGGAUACUAAAAAGAUAAUUUUGCUUUAUUUUUCAGGGUUUGUACUAAAGGUUUCUUUUUGUUCUAAUAUAUAUUUUCUUUUUUUAAAAAAAAAACAAUUGAAUAUACAUUUGUAUUAUAUGUUUAAAUGGAACUAAAUCAAUUGAUUUUAACCUGUUCUCUACAAAUUUUAGAAAUAUAAAUUUCUAGUAGUUUUUACAACUGUUUUAUGCCAUUAAAAUUUGAUUAAGCAUUAAAAAACUCAAACACAAAGAACUAAGAGAUCAAAAUAAACAUAAACUUAAGAAACAAGAAAAAAUUAUUAUCAAACAAAGUCCAAUUAAGCACAAUUUGACAUGUGUGCUAAAUCGCCAUGGUUUCUAUUUUUAGAUCUUAAAAAAGCUUAAUAUAAUGUUCAAUAAUUUAAUUUAUUUUCUAAAUAAUGAGAUUAAUUUAAAAAUUAAUUCAAAUAGAGAGAGAGAAGUUGAUGAGACGAGAGAACAAGUCGUUAAUCAUAUACAUACUAAUAACUGUGGUUUGUAAUUAGUUUUUAAUAACAACAAAGAAGAAAAGUUGUGUUAUUUAAUUAAAACUAAUUAAAAGCCACCAGAUAGACGAAUAACCAAAUACAGUGCAGAAUCAUUCUUAAUAUUAUUCUCUGCAAGAGUUUUAUGAUUUUCGAGAACCUUUCCUGCAUAAACAAUAUUUUGACUAUCAGCACGUACUCCAUAUUUAGCUUCUAGUUUAGCCUUCAAACCUUCAAUUGUGGCCGUUGGUUCCAAAUCUAAACUUAAUACUUUCCCAUCGAACGUCUUCACAAAGAUCUGCAUCUGCAUUAUUAUUUUUCAAAUUCACAACACAAAUUAACGUAACUAGGAUCCCAUUUCCUAAUCAAUUUGUCAUUUCAUACUACAGAUCACCAUCAAAGUUGAAAUGGGAUUGUUCCCUUGAAAUGUUAUGAAUUCCAAGUUUUGUUGAUUUUGAUAUGAAGCUUUGAUUAAUUAUUAUUAUUAUUUUACUGGAAGUAGAGAAGUAGCGAGGACGUAUAAUUUUAGUGGAAAUUAUUAUGAGUUUUUGUAUUUAAUGGUCUAUUGUGGAAGAAGACGAUUGAGUGCUUUUUUCAAGAAAAAAGAAAAAUUAACGAAGAAAUGUACAUACACUUCGAUUUUUAUUCUCACCACUUUGGAAAACGAAGUUGUUUAAUUUGGUGUUAAUUAAGAGUCGUUGUUUCUUUGGGUUUCUUUGGGUUGAGUUUCUUCUAAGACGAAGAUUCUCAAACAGCCAUAAAACUCUAAUAAAUUAAUUGAGAAUAAUACUUUUUUUUUUCUUUUAGUUAGUAGUUUGGAUAAUUACAAUAUUCUUAUUAAAAAAUUAAAAUAGAAAAAAUAGAAAAAUUGAACAAAACAUUUACAAAAUUAAAGUGUAAUAGUUUUUCUAAAUGAUGGGUAAUAAUUUGUACUUUUUAUUUUUUUGAAAAAAACUUCAUAUAAAAAAUUAUUAAGAAAAAAUAUGAUAUUUAAUAAAAAGAGAGAUUUGAUUUGAUUUUUUUUGUGCAUAUAAAGAUUAUUUGGAAAAUAGAUUUUUAGGAGAGGAGUUGUCAUAAAUAGAAAAAAAAAUUAAAAAUAUUUCCAAGAUAUAACAAAAAAAAUCUCAAAUGCUCUUUAGAGAAAAAGUUGACAAGAUCAAAAAGUUACAAAAAAGAAGUAGCCAUAAUUUUGAUAGUAAUAAUAAUAAAGAAAACUAAAAUGUGUUAUUUAAUUAAGACUUAAUUAAAAGCCACCACGAGUAAAAAGAAGCAAAAACAAUGCAAGAGUUGGAUGAUCUUGAAGCAUCUGCAUAAACAAGCUUUUGAGAUUCAACACCUAUGUCAUGCUUAGUUUCUAUUUUAGCAUUCAAAUUUAUGCAUUUGUGGCCGUUGAUUCAACAUCUAAAGCUAAUUAUCUUCCUAUCAAAAUGUCGUCACAAAGAUCUACAUCUGCAUUUUUUGAAAAUAAAUUCACAAACACAAAUCAACAUAUCAAGGCUCUAUUUGGUAGUGAUUUGGUUUUUUAGUGUUCAAGAAGAAAUUUGGAGAUGGAAGAGUAAUGGUAUUGAUUAAUUGCUUUUACCAAAAACAAAAUGAUUUUACCAAUUAUGAGCUAAGUUAUUCCCAAUUUUAUGCCUUAUAGAAUCAUCAAAAUUCAAAUGAGAAUGUUUAUACCUUGGGAUGUUAUGAAUUCCAAGUUGUCGAAGGGAUGUUGAUGCAGCUUUAUGAUUUGAUUGAUUUGUAUAUUUGAAUGUAAAGAUUUGAGAACAUUGUAUAUUUAUAGUGGAAAAUACUAUGAGUUUGCAUUAAUGCUUCAUAUGGAUGAAAACGAUGAGUCAUUAAAAAAAAAAACUAAACUUUGAUUUCUAUCCUCAACUCUUGGGAAAAACGAAAAUGUUUGGUGUUAAUGAAAAGUCAUUUCAAUUUUUUUUUCUAGGGAUGAGGAUUCCCAAACAACCAUUAAACUCAAACAAAUUUGUCAAUAAUCAUAUCGAGUUUGGAUAAAUGUAAUAUUAAAAAAUAUAUAUAUAAUAUUUAGGAAAUGAUAAGGGAGAAAAGAUAAAAUGGAUUAACUAUUAAAAAAAAUUGUUUCCCUUCUUCAUUUUCCUUAUUCUAUUUAAGAAUAAUUAUGAACUGAAUAUUUGAGAUAUUAAGAGUCGUACGUUCGAAAAACCAAGAAAACUCAUAUUUCAUCUAUCCUCUUAUAAUCAAUUAGUUUUGAAAUAAAAUUCCAUAUUGUUAAAUUUAACAUAAAGAUAGGUGAACUCAAAGAGGCACUGCUUUGCUACGGAAUCCCAAAAGUUUAAAGUUUAAUUUUAGUAACGAUAAAAAAUAAAUGUUUAUAUGCAAAAUAAUUUAAAAUUUAUACUAACAAUAUUUAUAGUUAGAUCUUAAAUUAUCAUAAAAGACUAUUAAACAUUAUGAAUUAAUUUUAUAAAAAAAUACACAUUUUAAAUCUUUUUUCAGAAAUAUAUUUUAAAAUAAAUUGUACGUUGACUUGAAAUUAUUAAUUUUUUAGUUAAUUGAAACUAAAUAUUUAUUUUAUUUUUUGUCUUAAUUUUUUUAGGAGAAUUUUUAAAAACAGUAGACUUUACAAAAUAUUUACAACCUAUAGCAAAUUAUAUCACUUAUAGUCAUUGAUAUGCAAUAGUGAUAGAAGACUAUUAGUGAUAUUUGUAUUAAUUUUUUUAUGAGAAUUUUUAAAAAUAAUAGAGUUUGCAAAAUAUUUACAACUUAUAGCAUAUUCUAUCACUCGUAGUCAUUGAUAUGCUAUAGUGAUAGAAAACUAUCACUCAUAGGAUCAAAAAUUUUGCUAUAGCUUGUAAAUAUUUUAAUUUAUGUUAGCUAUUUUUAAAAAUAAACCGUAAAUAUAAACAUCUUUGAAUUUGUUCUUAAUUUUCUUUUCUAUCAUCAGGUUUCUUUUAUUCUAAGUAUCUGAAUAUUCUUAUUGAUUUCUGUUUUUGUUAUAUUCAAUCGUUUGAAAUGUGUUGUAAUUGUUCUUUAUGUUCUUGGCAACCAUGGUGAGCUUAGAAGGUAAAGUAUGAUUUUAUUUUAUUUUUGUUUACUUACUGCUUAGUGUGUCUUUGUGGUUUGAAUUUUUUGCAUAUGUUUGUUUGCACACUGCAGCUACAAAAGAGGAGGAAGUUGAAGAAGAUGAUAAAAUGGAUGGUUACCAAAGUAGGAAGUUGAUGACGAUGGGAAGAUAUUUUUAUUUUUAAAAAAUAGAGGAUAUCCUGACGCUAUAUCCCGUGCGUCGGGAUAUCCUCUCUAGACAAAUGUUUUUCGACUUCGAUCCGGCACGAACUUAUGCAUCGAGAAAUCAUUUUCAAAUAUUUUUUCUCUUUCUUCCAACACUUUUGUACGUCGGAAGAUCCUUAUUUUCUUUUCUUGUAGUGUGAAUUGAAAUAAGAAUAAUGUAUAGCUUUGUUUUAAGAGGCAACAGUGAAAAGAAGAUGAUUGUGGAGUUUUGAGAUUGGUUUACUCAUCUCUUUAUUCUCACAAGGAAUUGGUAAGCAAAUCCCGAUUUCCUCCCAAGUUUGCAAUUCUCUCUCAUUUUAUUAUUUUCUAAUGUGACUAUAUAAAUCUACUUGAAAAAAUGCCAAAAGUAAGACAAUUAAUUAGGGGUGUAAAGAGUUUUGAAAUUGCUUUUUGAAAUGUUGAGUUUAAGGACAAAUAUGAGUAUGAAACGUUUAUAUAACCCUUACAUAAAAAACUUAUUUUCUUCUUUUUAUUUUUUUAUUUUUUAAAAUCUUUUUCUGUUUUUAUUUUAUGAAAAAACACAUUUUCUCUCAUCUUUCUCUAACUUAUUUUCUCCCAAAGCUCUCUUACAAUUACUUAGAAUUUUGUGGCUUUAUCUCUUGAAUAAACUCCCUUCUUAUUAAGUGUUUAUGUCAUUUUUUUUCUGAUUAUAGAUAGUCCUCUUAGGUUUUUGAUGUUUCUAACUCAUUUAUUCUCCUCUUACUGAAACAUAUAAAUCUCAAGUAUAACUCAUAGUUAAUUUUAUAAUUGUUCUAGAUAUCUCUAGUUGUUUGAUAUAUAUUUAGAUAAACUUUUUUGGUUAUUUUUUUAUCUUGCAAACAUCUAGCAACUUCCAUAAACUUCAAAUGUUUAAUCCCAAAUCAACUAUAUACUUGUUUCAUGUGAUUUAUGGUGAGUUUACUACACAUGUUUUAAGAAGAUUUUAACUACUAUUUUUGUAUCUUGCAAACAUCUAGCAAACAUCUUUCUUAAAUAUCUCUCUCGCAACUUCCAAACUUCAAAUGUCCAAUUCUAAAACAAUUGUACAUAUACUUUUACACAUCUUUUAGGAAAUUUUUAGCUACCAUUUUUUGUAUCUCACAGACAUCUUGUAAACAUUUCGCAGAUAUCUCGCAAAAUCAUCUCACAACUUCCAAACUUCAAAUGUCUAGUGUCAAAUCAAUUAUAUACUUGUUUUAUGUGAUUAGGGUGAUUCUACAUAUGUGCACUUUUGUUAUUCUUAUAGUUAAUUAUUUUGAUAUAACUAAGAGGAUAUUAUUGAUCAUCACAUUUAUUUCACAAUAUAUACAAUUGAAACAAAAUUCAAUAAAAGCUUAGAUUAUUUUUUUAGGAAACCAACUAGUUAAGAUCAACACCUACAAUUUUUUGUUCUGAACAAAAAAAGACGUUCUUGGUUCUAAUCUCUCCCGUUGAUUGUAUGAAAAAAGAAUGAAUUUCCUAUAAAGUAUAAGAUGUUUGAGAGAGAAAGAAAGAGUUGUUUAGAGGAGUAUAAAAGAACGUAAUUUAACCAAAUUCACAACUAACAUUGUAAUGAUAUCACAUAUAUAGAUAGAUAAUAAAUGUGGGUAUUGGCUUUUAAUAACAAUAAUAAAGAGAUAACAAAAAAAUGUGUUAUUUAAUUAAAACUAAAUCAAAAGCCGCCAUGAGCACGAAAAAUCAAAUACAGUGUAGAAUCAUUCUUAAUUUGAUAAUGUUCAAGAGUCUUAUCAUCUUCAACAGUCUUGCGACCGAAAAUUAGCCUUUGAGAAUAAGAGGCUACUCCAUUAAGAUCUUCAAUUUGAUCCUUCACAUCCACAAUCGUAGCUGUUGGUUCAAUUUCUAAAUUAAAUGUCUCCCCAGCAAACGUCCUUACAAACAUCUGCAAUUGUUAUUAAAAUUUGAACACCGACAAAUUAGUAAAUCAAAUUAAUUCAAAAACUUAAACUUGUAGAUGAAAUUCAAAUGGGUUUACCUUUGAAAUAUUAUGAUACGAUUGAUUUGUGUAGUUUUGUUUGAGUGAUUGAUUUACAAUUGAAAGAGAUGAUAUAUUUAUAGUGGUAAAAGAUAGACAGCGAUAGGUGUUUUUUUCUAGUAAUUAAUUAAUGUUUAUGGAAGAAAACGAUUUGUUUUUAUUUUAUUUUAUUGGGAACUAAUUAACAAAUGUUUAUUUAAGUUCAUAAACGAAAUUGUACAUGACUUUUGGUUUCUCUAACUCUUUGGAAAAUGAAAUUCUUAAUGUGGUGUUAAUUAAGAGUCUAUUGAUUACUACUCUUUUUUGCCAAGGAUUACCAUUUGUAAAAAGUAGUUAACCCAAUACUCUCUAUCAAUACGGCGAUGAUUGGGAAACUUCAAACGAAAAAAGAAAAAGAAAUUAAAAAUUAUCUCACAUUUUAGGCAAUAAGCCUCACCACCUCCCUCUACACAAUCAUACCAAAAACAAUUGCAACUAAACUGAAGUGCACGCUUCCUGGCACCAUCUCUGAAAACCAACUGGCUUUUGUGAAGGAUAAGCAAAUUACUGAUAUCAUUUUAAGGUAUCAGGUGUUACUUCAAAAUUCAAGUUUAGAUGCAUCAAAAUGUCAAAAGAUGUCGAGUAUAUCAAAAGAGUAUCAUGGUUCAUCAAGUGUAUCAAAGUUCAAGGGUUAUCAAAAAGUAGCAAAUGCAUAUCAAGUGUAUGAAGGAAUAUUAUAUGUAUCAAAUGUGUAUUAUGUAUAUUAUGUCAAAUGUAUCAUGGAGUAUUAAGUGUAUCGUAUAUGUAUUAAGUGUACCAAAUGUGUGUUAGUAACGAAUGCAUUUGUGACAUUUUAAAUCUUACAUAUGUAAGUUGAGUUUUGAUUUUGUCAUUUUUACAAAUAACAAAUGUGUGUGCUAUUGACUUAAUUAUAAUUUGUUGUCAUUUUUGCAAUUGCUCCUUUAUAUAUACUAGAUAACUUAAAAUAUGCGUUGAACAUAAAAACCUUGUUAGUAUAUAUUUUUGCUAAAAUGAAUAAAUAGUAUGCAAUGGUAAAUUUUAAAAAAUAGUACUACUGUAUAAAGAUAUACUUAAACGAGUACUUUAUAUACAAUGUUUUUUCUUACAUUUCCAAUAUUUGUAUUCAACCGAAUUUUCAUCAUUUUCAUCGAGAUGCCUUUGAAAAGUGUAACAUAUAAUUGUCGUGUGAGAAGACAUUUUGUGGAAGAUAAAUUCCAACAUGUGGUAUUGUUUGUCCUUGUGCCUUGUUAAAGGUCAUUGCAAAACUAAGGCGUACUGGAAAUUGUUUCCUCUUAAAUUUGAAUGGAUACCCUUCAUCAUUUGCCGGACUUAAAAGUAUAUGCGGUAUGAAGACAUGUUUGCGCCAAUAUGUUGGCCCAUUGCUAUUUCAGCAAAAAUCACAUGUUUUUCAAAGUCUCGACACACCAUUCUUGUCCCACAAAGACCAUUUGAUGGGUCUAAAUUUCUUAGAAGUAUUAUAGGACAAUCUUUAAAAUAAGUUUACGUGGUGGAAGUUCAUUUGGCAAUAAGGAAUUUAGAAAUUCUUGUUGUUAAUCUGAUGAAAAUUGGAGAAAACUCAGGAUUAUAUUCGUAUUGUAAUAAGAAAGGAAAGUAGAAAUUAUUGGUUGUUAAUGACGUCGGCGAUGACAUACAAUGAACUUGGAUAAGAAUGCGGCAAUCGAGGACAUAGGCCAUAGAUAGAGUCCAAGAAAUUCCAAGAACGUGUAGUUAGAAGCUGAAGCGUGGGAUAAAGAAUAUCGAUUUUACUAAAUAAUCAUAAAAAUAAAGAAAAUUCAAAACUUCGAAUUAAAAUCUACUUUAAAAUAUUCAAAGUUUUGAAGACACAAAACAAAGAAAACAUGAUCACUUAAUAGAAAAAAAAGUUUACCUCCACGACUACUUAUUCUAUUUUGGUCUUCCGCGACAGUUAUUUGGUGUCAUAAAAUAUACAAAAAUAAUUUAUUUAAUUUAUUAAAAUAAAAUUUAUUUUAAAUCCAAAGUUUAUUAAAAUCAAAUUUUUUCCUAAUUCUAAAAACAUUAAACAAUUUAUUCAUUAAAAUAAAACAUCUCCAAAACCCUUUCUCUUCUUCUUCUUCUCUUCUUUUUUUUUUCUUCUUCUUGGUGGAAGAUCAACGAGUCGCCCCUCCUUUUAGAUUUUUCCUCCCUUCCGGUAACCAUCUGUCUCCCUCUCUCAUGCACUCUGAAAACGACGAGACUUUUCGUCAAUGACACGCCCGAAAUCCCCCUCUUUCUCUCCUUCAGCCGACGCCACCACCCAACACCCCUUGCAUUGGUGAAUCUCAACUAUUAUUUCUAUUUUAUGUAUUUAUACAGUAUAUUAACUUCAAAUGCUUUUAUUUUACCCUCAAUGUGAUUAAUUGAUGGUUCUAUUUAUGAAAAACAUCCCUCAUAGUUUUGUUUUUAUAGAAGAUGUGUUUGUUUUGUCUACCAUCAUAUUAAAUAUUGUUGUUUAUGUUCAUUUUUCUAAUUUGAAUCUAAUUUUUUUCUUUAUGGUUGGCUAUGUGAUGAAGCAUUCUGGUAGCUUACAAUGUGUUUGAUGAAAUGCCUCAAUGAAGCAUUUGGUUGAUUUUUAAUUGAUUUUUGUUUGUUCUAAUUAGCAAAUCAAGGCCAAGGGAGAUUUCAUGGCUAUGGGCUCAAGCUUUGAGAAAAAGAGAAUGAAAAAUAAAAUGUGAGAUUUUAAACUUUUAUGGUGUAUAGGGUCUUUUUGUUUGUCUAUGAAUUUUCCAAGUGAAUUUAAGUACUCUUGAUUUUUCUAUUGAUAUUUUGUUUAUGGUUGCUAUUCAGUUCUAUUCUAAUUGCAUGAUAUUUAUAGUAUAAACAAACUGUAUAUAUAAACUUGAACACAAGUACUUUUAUCUAACUCAUUACUAAAUUAUUGUAAUUUGGUUACUCUUGAUUUACUAAUGAUUGAAAGAUUAAAAAAAGUUAUGAACAUUUUCACUAUGAUCCUACUCCUCUUAGAUAGAGAGGAGGAUGAUAUUUGUGAGGUAAGACAUUUGCUAUUAAACCUAAAUGCAUCAUUGGAUUCCAUUUUUCAUUGUUAUUAUCUUUGAAAAAGAAGCAUAACCUUCACUCUCUUUUUCUUUUUGUCUAUAUUAUGAUCUUGCAAUCUUGGAAGCAUUAGGGUUUCUUUUAUAAUAUAAAAUUCUUUUAUUUUAUUUGGAUUGAAAUUAUGUCUUGCUUUGAUUGAAGGAUAGAGGAAGUGAUUAUUGAUAAUUAUAGGUAUGUUCUCUCUCCAUUUCUUACAAUAAGGAUAGUAGCAACAAAAAUUACUACAUGUUCUUCUAUAUUAAAAGGAAAGACAAAAAAAAAAAAAAAAAAUCAAAAGGUGGUAAAUUAAGAUUUAUUUUGUAUGGUAGAAUUUUAUUUGCCACUUAUCAUGCUAGAUCUUUCCAAGAGGAGUAAAUUUGAAAAUUUUGAAAUACACCACUGCUUGAAACAUAAAUCGCGGUGUAUGUUAUACACAUUGGAAAUGGAUGUUUAUCCUCUGUAAUGAAAUUUUGUUUAUGAUUUUUUUUGGAUUUAUUAGGAAGUAGAAGUUAAUCUUUUCUUGCAGACAAAAAAAAGAUAUAUCCAAUGGUAAACUAGUUUUUGGAUAUCUCCCAUUUGAAGUUACUUUAAACUUGCAAGAUAAGAGGAGGUGUUUAUGUACUUGCUUAUAACUUCAGUUUCAGUUCCGUGUCUUUACCUUUUUUCUGUUUAUUAAUCCCCUUUUUCACCUUCAAAACCAUAACAUAGCGACACACACGCAGUACCUAAAGUAAAGUUCAAAUAAGUCUAAGCAUGUGUUACCUAUAGUAGUAUAUAAUGUGUUCAAAUAAUUUAUGGCUAAUUAGAGGAAGUUUUUGUAGCAUUGAGGUGAGGUACUAAAUCGAUUAAGGUGAGAGAGAGACAACCGUCAAAGGAGAGAGGGGGGGAGCCAGGAAUGAAAGAAAAAGAGAGAAAUUCACAUGAAUAUUUCCAACAGUUUUUGUGGAAAUUAAACUCCAUAGGAAAGCAUUAUCUAAAUUGGUUUGGUGAUCUCUUUUAGUUGCUUAUUAUAGUUUUACUGUGGAGACCAAAAUUUGAUGUCUUGAAUAAAUAUAAAACGAUUCUCAUUUCUAUUUUGUGAUUAGCUAGUUGAGCUUAUUUCAAUAGUUAUCAAUUAAGAAGUAUGGUUGUUGUUGAAAAAUUAGUCCUUUAACUGUAUGAAACUAUAUUUUCUUCCUAUGACUACCUUAUGACAUUUUGAAUAAUUGAGAAUUGAGGAUUAGCAGAAAGUUCUCUUACUUCAAUAUAUUUGAAUAUGAAUGUGUAAAGCAGAUUUCAUAGUUCUUGUACAUAAAGUAAAGCAACACAGAGGUAAGUUCAUAGUUAUUGUAUCACAUUUAUAUAUAUGUGAUUGGCUUAUAAUUAAAUAAAUAUGAAUGUGUGUAUUUAUUUUUUUUUCUUAGGAAGAGUUCGAUAUUUUUUAAGUAAAAGUUCAUGUUCAUGGAAACCUUUUGUUUGGGGACCUACAACUCGUAGGAAUUGCUGCAAUUCGACCCUCCUAUCAAUAACCCACAAGCUUGUCGAUAUCCAAUGCAUAAUUGUUUGGGAUUCUACCUUGGUAUGUUACUUGUAAUUAUAUUUUUCAUUUUUAAAAAUCUGUAAGUUCAUGUUUGAUAUAAAACUUUGUAUGUAUAUAAUUUGUAUGUGUAUAAAACUUUGUAUGUAUAUAAUUGGUAUGCACAACCAUUUUAUUUUUUGAGAUCUAGAUAAUGUUUUGGAGAUGGUUUUGUUGGUAGAGGAUUGAUUCUAUUGGGCGGUGUUUCAUAAUGUUUUGAGAAGUUCUUUGUAUAUUGUACUGAAUUAUGCCUAGAUAAAUUGAAUUUGAUUAUAGUUUCUGCAAGUUUUACUUCUUGUGGACAUGUAAAAUUAUGCUUAGGUAUUUUAAUGCAUUAUUUUAAAUCUUUGCCUAGAGUUUUUGCUAUGAUUCAAUAUGGAUUGUUGCAAAGGCAGUGGAUAAGUUUCAUUAUUAUGUUAUUGAACUCCAUGAACAGCGAAUGUUGUUAGACUUAUAUUGGAAAGUUUCAAAACUUUAUUUCUCUCUUUUUCAUCGGCUUGCAACCCUUAAUAUGUAAAUUUGAAAAAACAUUUUGUAGGUAGUUUUCUUCAUGUUUUCAUGAUUGGGAAGGUUUGACUGAUAGUGUAGACUAUGCUUGUAGAAUAAAAUUUGUGUUGUAUAUAACUCUUUGGUCGUAUAUAUAUAUAGAGAUAGACAUAUAGAUAUUACUAUAUGAUUGAAUUUAUUUAUACUUACCAUAUGUUCUCAUGUUAAUAUGAAUUUAUGCAUGUAACACUUAAAAUUCUUAUUCAUAUGCAUGCUCUUUCAUUUUUUCUAACUUUUCAUUGGUUGGUGACAAGGAAGAAAAAUAAUGUUCAAGGAUUGAAUCUCUGAAAGGGGACAAAAUAAGUAAAACACCCAAAGAAACAAUAGAACAAAAAAAAAUACAAGAGCCUAAGAAAUAAAUAGAGGAACCAAAAACAACAAACCAAAAAAAAAUCAAGCCUUUGAAAAUUCAAAGACAACAAUGAAGACAAAAGCUUUUUAUUUAUUUAUUUUUAUUUUUAUAAUGAGAGCAAUGUCAUUGACAGAUGAAUAAAAUAAGAGAGAACAAACUCAUUCAAUUGUUUCAAGCUCAGUUAGGUUACAUACUUGCCACAUUAUGAUUUGAGUGCAAAGCAAGAUGAGAAAGUCAACAUGAUAGCAACAAGGCCACAAAACCAACCCAAUGAUGAGUGACUUUUACAACAAGAUCUUGGUGGGUGACUUCAUCAAGAUUGGAAAUCUUUUUCAUAAACACCAACAUUAUAAGAGAUAGAUUACACUAAAAAAGAAUUCUUAUAUAUGUGAUAAUAAGGUAGCUCUUUUGUAACCUUGUCAUGCAUGUAAUGUUAUCGAUGCAUGUAGUGAUAGUUAAGGCUCAAUGUUGAAAUUUUCUAUAGGAGUUGUACUCUCUUUUCCUGUGAUUGAUGCUUAUAUUCAUGUUGUCUUUGUAGAUUCAACCGAAGUCUACAACUUCAUGAGUUUCCUUUCAAAGAAUAUUUUCAGAGAUGAAGGCUUACUAGUUGAUCGUUUAUGCUUGUUGAGAAAAUCUUGUUAUAUGUAUUCUUAUGCUCUUUACAAUGAUUUUGAUUAAGGACUAGAAUUAUGUACUAGUAAAUUGUAGAAACUUGAUUAGAAAUGUAUGAAUAUUACAAAGUGUAUUAUAGCUUAUAUAUGUCGUCAAUAGCGAAACAAUGCCAUUUAAAUUUUCAGAAAAACUGUCAUGAUUGCACUAUAUUUGACUGGAAAUAAUUAUCGUCAAUAUUAAAACAAUGACAUUUUUAUAAGAAAAACUGUCACGAUUGCCCUAUAUUUGACAGGAAAAAAAAUGUCGUCAAUAGCAAAACAAUGACAUUUAAUUUCUAAAAAAAAACUGUCACAAUUGACAUAUUCUUGACAUUUAAAAAAUGUCAUAAUAAACGAAUUUGCGACAUUUUUAAAUUGUUGUUAAUACGCAAAUGAUGACAGUUACUUGUUGUCAUAAUAUAAAAUAUGACAGUUAUUUGUUGUCAUAAAAUAGUAAUUAACGACAUUUAUUUUCUGUCAUUAAAAAACUUAUUGCCAUAGUUUUAGAAAACUGUCCUGGAAUGACUUUCCAUGACUCCGCUUUUAUGACUGUAAAUAACUGUCACGAAUUUUAAUCGUGACAGAAAAUAACUGUCGUCGUAGACCACUUUUCUUGUAGUGGAUAUAUAAGAAAUUAAGAGGUAAUUGACGUUGACUACAAAACAUAAAAAAUACUAAUUAACAGCCACAUAAUCGAAGGGAAGCAAGAAUAGUAGAACCAUCUGUUAUGUUAUAGUCUGAUAGACUUAGACUUCUUCCAUCUUCAAGCAUCUUUCCAGCAUAAAUGAAUCUGAUAUUGCUUGGAAGAUAUCCUUCCUUUUCAUAGAGUUUAACUUUCAAUCCGUCAGUUCUGAUGAAAAUGGAAACCUUGAUUGCUAUUGUAUUGCCGUUCGUUAAUUUCACGAAGAUUUCAGUUGGCUCUGGCCAAAGCUUUCUCCUCAACCACCUGCUUCGUAAGUUUGCAUUCAUAGCAAUAAACAUUUCGGCAUUCUUUCCCUUCUCAAGAAAAUCAAAGACUUCAAAAAGAAGGUCUUCGUCAGAUGCCGGAUAAUGCUUGCACAGCUUCAAUGGCUGCUAAUAUAGUUGGCAUAUCGACAUUAUUGUUCGAUGAAGUAUAUUGAUCAGUUGCCAUGACUUAAUCUUCUUCUUCAAUUCCACUUUUUAGUAUUCUUUUAUUUGUUUAAAAUUUAUGAGAGAGGAAGGGUUAGGAAAGAGGAUGUAAGAGAUAUGAUAUAUAAAGAGGAAAGAGAGAGUGGGAAGAUGAGGGGUCAAAGAAAUGGGAAGAAGUGUCUUGAUGCAUGGCGUUAAACAACAUUCAAUAAGCACUGUUUUUAAUUUUUUUUUUGAAGUAAUAUCAAUAUUAAGAAGUCCAUGAGUCUUUAGUACUUGACUUCUCUCUUCCCUUGGGUUUCUUUUGAUUAAGUCCAUUAUAUUAAUUGAAAUAAUUCACAAAUUUCAAGUUAAGUAGAUUAUUUUUUAUAAGAAUUUGAAAAAAAAGGAAUUCUUAUAUGUAAUUACAAUUUUUGAAACUAGGGUUCACGGACUCAAAACUAGUUUGAAUGCAAUAUUUUCACUGAGUGUAAUUAGUAAAUAUUUGACAUGAUACAAAGUCAUUCAAAAAUAGUGCCUUAGGCCAUGUUUCAAGUUAAUUUAUAACAAAUAUGAGAUUUUUUAAUAUUUUAAUUUAAAUGUCAUUGAAUUUUUUUUUAAAAGUUCUUCAAAUGAAAAUAAAAAUUGGACAUUUUUAAAAAUAGUAAAAUAAAUUAAAAUAUUUACAAGAUAUAACAAAAUUUUGGAUUGUAUCUCUAUAAUAUAUCAAUUCUCAUCGUGAUAGAAUUUAGGUUAUAAAUAUUUUGUAAAAUUUAAUACUUUCAAAAAAUUUCCUUUAUUUAAUUUAAUUUAAAUAAUUAAUAAUUAUGUAUAUUGGUGUGUUUUAAAAUUUAAUUAUAUGUCAAACAUAUUCAAAUCUUUAUGCUUUUGCCAUUUAUUUUCUUCAAGUUUUAGUGUGGAGGGGAUUCAUAUUUUUCAUAUACAAAAAAUGAUAAAACAAAUAUGAAAAAUAAAAGUUAUAACGUGUUUAUUUAUUUUUAUUCUUUGAAUCAAAAUGUACCAUUUUUUAAUUUUUAUUUGCGUAAUAAAAGAAAUUCUUUUUAUUUACAUAUAUAAAGAAAUUCUAUAUUUAUUCGCUUAAAACAAUAAGAAAUUACACUACCUAUUUUGAUUAAAAAAAUCUUAUUUAAUACAUAAAAUUAUAAACAAAUUUUUAAUCUUUUUUAGUUAAACCAACUUAAACUAUUUCAACGAAUAAUUUAUUUGACUUGUUAUCCAAAAAAUUAUAGUAAUAAUUUUAAAAUGGAAAUGAAAGUAUUAAACUAAAAUAAAUAAAUAAAAUCUCAAUUUACUCUACAUGUUAAGCCCAUGGUUUUACAUCAUGAGCCAAACAUGUGCUUGGCAUUAAAUGCCAAACCCACGUGAUGCCAUGCCAAGGGGUCAAACACCCUCUGAGAGGGUGAGACCCUAUGUUUAAGUCACAUAGAUAUCAUUUAAGUAAACACUCAACUACUUAUCAUAAAGUCGAAAAUGAGUGAAUUUCAUCUUUGUGUGAUUACGUUUGCAGUUUCCCACUCAGUCGUGUCUCCAAAAUGAUAAGCACAUUGAGUUGGCAAACUGGUCACUCUCAUUUGUACAAAUCAAAGGAUAAUCUCUGGCAAACAAGAGUUCAUAAUACACUUAAUAUUAAGACAAAUUUACCUAGGUCAUUCUAAUGAAAUAGAAACUUAACAAGUUAAGAAAGUUACAUCUAAUGGUUACUAUUUAAUGGUACAGUCUUAUGCAAACACAUUUCAUAGAAUACCUUCACUCGCAUGUCACCUACAUAAAUGUUUUGGAUUAUUACAUUUGUAUCAAAUACAAAGUGAGUCGUAUCCAUAGUAAACGGUUAAAUUUCAGAUCAACUUGAAGAAUAAUAGAUCUUAAAGUGGCAUUAUAAAUAAAAAUGGUAAAAUCAUUUCUUUAAUAAUUAUGGAAGUACAUACAAAAUAUAAUACUCAAAAUUCUAUAAAAAGAUGUCUCCAAGACCCAAACAAUAAAAAAGAAUAACAGUAAUUAUGUUGUAAUGAAAAGAUAGGAGAAUUGUUGGGAAUCACCCAUCCAAAUUUUCACUUUACAAAAUUAGCAUUUCCUUUAGAAAAAAAGCUAGUUAAAAUAAUUUUUUCUAUAGAUGCAUCCGAACCCAAGAUCAACCCUCAAAUUUAGUUUAAAAGUUUACUUUUUCUAACUUAUCGAUUGUUUUAGAUCUUCUCAAUACAUUUUGUCAAUACUCUCAUUCUAAAUGUUAGUACGAACCAACAUUUGUUAUGUAAUAUCUUUUAUAUUUUUCAAAAUAUAAAAAUGAUACAAUAAUCAUCCUGAAUUACUUUUGGUAGUUGGAAGACCUAGAUUGGAAUUGAAGAAAUUCAUACCAUUAUGAAAAAGUAUUUACGCUAAAGAUUUUAAGAAUUACAUAAUACAUAGUUUGGAUAUAACAUUUAAAAAGUUGUAUGUUAUUGUGAUUUUGCUGCUAAGAGUAUUAUGUGCAUUCACAACAAAAGGAAGAACAAAUUAUUAUUGGAGAGUAAUAUUAGAAAAUACAAAUGAAAGGUAUCAAUGAGAUAUGGCAUUUACAAAUGACAUGACUUUGUCUUUGUUUGUUAAACUUUAGGUCCAAAAAUUCUUUAAUUUGGCUAACUUUAAUUUUAUAGUUACUAAGUGUUUUUAUUUCCCAUCUUUUAAGAAAGAAAUUUGUUCGAUAAUUUUUGUUUUUUGUUUCUAAUUUCAUAAAUGUUUCUUCGAUGGUAAACAAGACGUUCGACUUAAUUAAUUAAUUUAUUUUUGUUUCUAAUUUCAUAAAUGUUUCUUCUUUCUUCCGAUUUAUUAUUCUCUUCUUCAUAUUAUUAAUUUGUUCAUACUACUACUUCUUCAUAUUUCCACUUCUGGUUUACAAUUUCUUCAUUUCCUCUUCCAGAAUUUCUUUUUCCUUAUUCAUCUCCCAUCUUCUUUUUUCUUUCUUGGUAUAAGAUCUAAAUGAUCUAAAAAUCGUGUACCAAUUUCUAAACGAUCAGUUGUCUAUCACAGAUAAACAGAGAUAAAUCACUAUCACUAAUAGAUCGUUUAGCUUUGGUACAAGAUCAUUUAGGCUAAGUACAAGAUCGUUUAGGCUUGGUACAAGAUCGUUUAGACUUGGUAUAAGGGUACAAGAUCGUUUAAAUUGAAUACAAGAUCGUUUAGAGUAAGUAUAAAAUCGUUAUUUCAUGUGUGUGUGUGACCACUUAAUUGCGAGGUAGUUUUGUUAUUUCAAGUGGUGGACUUUUGGAUUUUUUUUCAAAAAUAAAACAAAAAGCAAAAAUAUUUACACCAUACAAAAUUUUGAACAAGAAAAAAAUCCACAAGCCCACAACGUGAGAUAACAAAAAUAUCCCUGCAAUUAAUUGAUCACACACGUAUGAAAAACGAUUUUAUACCCAGUUUAAACAAUCUUGUAGCAAGUAUAAAUUAUGAUCUUGUACCCAGUCUAACGAUAUCUUGUAUCUAAACAUAAUCUUGUAUCACACCUUAAUGGUCUUGUAUCAUUGUACCUAGUCUAAACGAUCUUGUACGCACUCUAAACAUAACCUUGUACCAAACCUAAAUGAUCUUGUACCCUUGUACCCACUAUAAACGAUCUUAUUCCUUUAUAUCCAAUAUAAAUGAUCUUGUACCCUUGUACCUAAUCUAAACGAUCGUGUACCAAGUCUAAACAUAAUCUUGUACCAAACCUAAACGAUUUUAUACCCUUGUACCCAGCCUAAAUGAUCUUGUACUCUUGUACCCUAGUCUAAACGAUCUUGUACCCAGUCUAAACAAUCUUGUUCCAAAUCGAAACGAUCUUGUACCCUUGUACUCGGCCUAAACGAACUUGUACCCUUGUACCUAGUCUAAACAAUCGUGUACCCAAAUCUAAAUAUAAUCUUGUACUAAACCUAAAUGAUCUUGUACCCUUGUACCCAACCUAAGCAAUCUUGUACCUAGUCUAAACGAUCUGUUACCUAGUCUAGAAAAUCUUGUACAAAACUUAAACGAUCUUGUACCCAUGUGCCUAGUCUAAACGAUCUUGUGCCUAGACUAAACAAUAUCGUACCAAGCCUAAACAAUCUUAUACCCUUGUACCCAACCUAAACGAUCUUGUACCCUUGCACUCAACCUAAAUAAACUUAAUUGUACUCUUGUAUCUAGUAUAAACAAUCUUGUACCCAGUCUACGCGAUCUUAUACUAAAUUUAAACAAUCUUGUACUCAAUUUAAACUAUCUUGUAUUAAAUCUAAACGAUCUAUUAGUAAUAGUGGCCUAUCUCUAUCUAUAUCGGGGAUAGACAACUUAUCGUUUAGAUCUUGUACCAAUAUUAUUUAAAUUUUGUUCCAAGAAGAAAAAAAUAAAAUAAGAGAUGAAGAAGAAGGAAGAAAUUCUCGAACCGAAAAUUUAGAAAUCACGAACAAAAAAAGUAAGAAUAUGAAAAAUGAGAAGAAAUAAUAUGAAGAAAUUAUGAUAAAUAAAUCGCAAAAAAGAAGAAAAAAUGUUAAGUGAAGAAUUAUCCCACAAUAUUUAGAACCAACAAGAGAUAAGUUUGGAAAUUUAUGAAAAAACAAUAGUAGCUUCAUGGACUUUAAUUUUUUGUUACAUGGAUCGUAAAUAUAUUUUGAAUUUUGUUACAUUUAUAUAAAUUAACUUAAAGUGUACUAUCAUCGAAAUUCAAAAACUAAAUGAGGAAACUAAAGAGGUUUCUAAAACUUAUGUACCAAGUUUACAUAUUGACCGAAAUUUAAAAAUAAGAAAGUAUUUUACCCUUUAUAAUCGAUAGAUUUUGUUAUAUUUAACAUUUUCUAAAAUGUUGCUAUUUAUAAAAUUGAUAUUCCAUUAUAAUUAUCCUAAUUCUCACUACAAAAUUUGCAAAUUGAAUCCAUAUAUGGUUGGAAGAAAAUGAUAAGUUCUAAAUGAUGUAGAUAGUAUUGUUUUGAUUUAGAAGUACAUUGGGCGUAUGUAUUUUGUACCACCCAACUAAGGUAACCAACAUAUUAUAGAAAGGUACGUAUUGUUACCACAUUUAAAACACUCCAAUCCUACCAUUAUGGAAGCCAUUUUUACAUUAACACACGCGUCGAGAGAAACAGAAAUAAUCGGCCUCAGUUGAACGCAACAAUUUCCCAACAACAAACAAAACUGGGUUUCACACGUUGGCUUCUCACAACAUUAUAUUUGCUCGAAAACGACCACGUACCCACCCCAAACUAAAUCAAUUAGCCAUUUGCAUUCAAAAUCCUGCUUCCAACUCCAAUCUAAUGACACAUGCUAUUUCCCAUUCAUUUGCAUGCCUAACCCAUACGUGGAACUUCAACCAAAACUGAUCACGAAGCUCCACCAUUACUGUACUUUCACAAGCUUCAAAACCCCACAACAGAUUCCCUCUCUCCACGUUCCCUACAUGCACCCACUCCUCAUCCCCUAUAAAUACAAAUCACAUUCACCACUCACUUAUUCACUCAACUUCUUCAAUACACUCCUCUUUUUACUUCAUACAACUCUUCAACAAUGGCGAGACUCACAAGCAUCAUUGCCCUCUUGGCGUUGGCUUUGGUGAUUGCAGAUGCUCACCGCACCACCAUCACCACCGUCGAAGUGGACGAAGAAAACCCAGGGCGGAUGGAGAGGUGCCGUCAGAUGCGGGCGCGCGAGGAGAUCGGCAGCUGCGGGCAGUACCUGUCGCAGCAGAGCAGGUAUGUUUUGCAGAUGCGUGGAAUCGACAACCAAAGGAGGAGAGGAGGACAGCUCUUCGAUGAGUGCUGCAGUGAGCUCACGAAUGUGGAAGAGGAGUGCAGGUGCGAACUCUUGCAGGAGAUUGCCAUGGAAGAACAGAGAAGAGCACGAGGCCAAGAAAGAACGCAGAUGCUUCAGACAGCUAAGAACUUACCAUCCAUGUGCGGUAUGCGCCCACAACAAUGCUACUUCUAAGCGCUUAAGCUACGCACGCCACCCCAAUAAACAACAGGAGAGCAGUACAUCGUCGUGUGCUUUUUGUCUUUAUGUUAAAAUAAAUAAAAAAGACUAGUAAAUUCAGUCAAUCUCAAUCGCACUAUUUCUCUCUCUGCUACUUAUAUUAAAUAAAAAGAGCUACGGUUUUUGAGUGGAACUUGUUUAUGUAAUGAAUUGAGAAUAAUCAUAAGCCGGAAAGAAGCAGAUAGAACUUAGUAUUAUUUGUAAAUUGAGUUGUAGAACAGAGAAGAUUAGACUAGAAUACAAGCAACAUGAAGAGAAAACAGAGAACAUAAGCAUGUUGAAAUGAUGAGUUUCAAAUACCACCACGAAGACGAAGGACAAGGUGGAGGGUGGACUCCUUUUGAAUGUUGUAAUCGGCCAGUGUACGUCCAUCCUCCAAUUGCUUUCCAGCGAAAAUUAGUCUUUGCUGGUCAGGAGGGAUACCCUCCUUGUCCUGGAUUUUAGCCUUAACGUUAUCAAUGGUGUCUGAGCUCUCAACCUCCAAUGUGAUGGUCUUUCCUGUCAAGGUCUUCACAAAUAUUUGCAUUCCUCCACGAAGACGCAACAACACGCGGAGAUCUGAUUCCGUUUGAAUGUUAUAGUCGGCUAUAGUCUUACUAUCUUCCAAUUGCCUACCAGCUAAAAUUAAUCUCUGUUGGUAUGGUGGGAUGCCCUCUAUAUCUUGAAUCUUAGCCUUUACAUUUUCGAUAGUAUCAGAAUUUUCAACCUCAAGGGUUAGUGUCUUUCUGUGGAGAGUUUUCACAAAGAUUUGCAUCUGUCAUAACCCCAGUCAAACGAAGUCAAUUAACAAUUGAAUAUAGGUCACGUAAUCAAGAUUACUCUGGAAAAACGUUACUCAGGUACCAAAUCAUAUUUCCUACAAUGCAAUCUAAAUCGAAAAUAUCGCCAUCAAAGACGUCUGUCGAAGAACAUAAUUCUAGUAACCAGAUUCAGUGCAUGUAUAAAUAAUCUUGAAGAAAAAAAAAAAUCAUGAUAACCAAAACAUAGUUGUUUUUUUUUUUAAUUUUUAAUUUCUAAAAAAAUUAAUGAUGCGUGGAGGAUUAUCCCCUUGAAAAUUUAGAAAAUAUUACUUUUAUCAUUUGUAGAUACCGUAUUUUGUCCUAUAUUUAUUUAUUAUAAAAGAAAAAAAAAGAAAAAGAAAUUAAAUUUGAAUUUGAAUUUGAAUUUGAAUCUUAAAUUUAUAUUUUAAAAAACAAUAAUAAUAAUAAUAAAUACAUUUAAAAAUAAAUAAUAAAAAUAAAAAUAAAAUGUUUGAUUUUCCUUCCUAUUUUUUCUCAACCAUCCCUUUUUCUUCGUCAUCACUCUCCACUUUCUCCCACUCUAUCACUUUCUCCCACUCUCCCACUUUCUUCCUAUUUCUCUGUAGUCUGCACUCCAUCUCGUGAUCUAAAAAAAACGAUGGAGCUUGCCCUAUAAAAAGGAAAGAGGAAAAAAGAAAAGGGGAUCUUUUUUUCUUAUUAUUGGAGGAUUUAGAAAGAGGGGAAGAGUGAAAGAAGAUCAAAAAGGAAUAACCUUUGGCAUUGAAGGGCAGACCUGCUGGUAAAUUUUUUCUUCUUUUUCCUCUUUUUAUUCUUAUUCUUGUUUAAUGAUUUUUUUUUCUUCUUGUUUGAUAUACUGCUUUUAAUUAUGAACUAUCGUGUUCAUCAUUUUACCAUCAUUUAACAUGUUAAUUUUAUUAUUUGUAUCUUUCUUAAUACUGAGCAUUCUACCUUCCAUUCUAUAUUAAAUUUUUUAUUUUUUAUUUUUAAAUAUUGAACAUUCUGUUCUGUGUUAAUUUCUUUUUAAUUGUUGGGUAUCCAUUCUGUGUAUCCAUUAUGUAUAUCCAUUCUGUGUUAAUUUUUAAAUAUUGAACAUUUUGUUCUGUGUUAAUUUCUUUUUAAUUGUUGGGUAUCCAUUCUGUGUAUCCAUUAUGUAUAUCCAUUCUGUGUUAAUUUUUAAAUAUUGAGCAUUCUGUUAUGUGUUAAUUUUCUUUUAUUACUGGGCAUCCAUUCUGUGUUAAUUUCUUUUUAAUUAAUUAGCAUCAUAUAUUUGUAUUUGGAUACUCAUUCUUCAUUGGCAUCCAUUUUACAGUUUUUGUUAAUUACUUUAUCCAUGUAUCCAUAUGGCAUACUCUGUUAAUAAUUACUGUUAUCCAUAUAUUAUCCAUGUUAAUAAUUAUGCAUGAUAUAAUUAAAUUUUGGCAACAACCAUUUUUCAUUUGGCCUAUUAAUUAAUUAGCAACUUGUAUGUGACAUUUUCACUCCCUCAUUCUAAUUAUUUGCAUGAUGUAUUAAUUAAUCAGUAUGCAUAUGUGGCUAUAAUUAUUUGAUAUUUAUUUUGGUGUGAUUAUUUAUUUCGCAAUAUUAUUUAUUUGCAUAUUGGGCCAAACCUACUUUAGCAUUCAACUGUUAAUUAUUAUUUGAUAUCCAUUUGGCCUCGUUUAAUUAUGCAUUAAUCAAUUAUUUUGCAUCCUGCAUUAAUCAAUUAUUUUGCAUCAUUUUGAAUUAAUUAAUUAUGUUGCAUGUGUUGUAUUAAUUAAUUAUCUUGCAUCCUACAUUAAUAUCUUUUACAUUUUGCAUAUAUUAUCAAUGUAUUUAUUUUAUCUCAGCAUAUUACUUCUAAGUAUUUUUCAAAUUUCAUAAUGUUUUGCCAUUGUUAUUAUUUUUUUUAUAAUAAUGUAAAUUGGAGAAAAAGUAUUGUUUUUUAUGGAUUUUAUAAUUUAAAAUCCAUAAAUACAUGAAAUUUUUCCGUUUGAAAUUUAAUUAAUAGAUUUUUUUUUUUAAAUUAACACAUUUCAUAUUUUAAAUGAGACUGAGUAGUAUUUUCUAUGAAUUUAUUAAUUCUAGAUAUAUGAAAUUUUUCAUUAAACACCUAUGAUAGAGAUUAAAAUAUCAAGUGUUGGUAUCUUAAUAUUCUUAAGGUGAAUAAAAAUAUUUUAAAACAAAAAUAAACUUAAUUUUUCUAAUGGCUCCUAUGCCACUCAUAAUCAUCAAUUCAUGCUUAGGUUUUACUUUCUUCGAUAUGAAUUGAUAAACAUGGGACAUUUAAACAAAACCUAAAUAAAAAUUUUAUUUUGUGAACCUCUAUAAUUUAAUUUAAAAGAUAAAAUUGGGUAACCAUUUUUUGGGUGUUGUAGGGUGCUAACACCUUCCCUACACACAACUGACUCCCGAACUUAAAUCUCUGAAUGUACGCAGACCAUUUUUUUUUUUUUUUUUGGGUGACCAAUCACACCCUAAUAUGGUUGGUGGCGACUCCAAAACUAUUUAUUAAAAUUAAAUAAACGGGGAGGUCGGCCGCUCCGCGUAGCGAUCACGUCGCGACAGCUUGGCGACUCCACUGGGGACAUUGCAAUGUGUAAGAGAGUCAAGCCAGUACAUUUUUAUCUUUUAUUCUUAUUAUAUUAUAAUAUGUUGGUUCACUUAAUUAUUUUUUUUUUUAUUGAUUCAUAUGUAAUAUUUUGUACUAUGUUAUUGGUACAUUUUUUUUCCAACAUGCAUUUACACACACUCACAAGCCCUCUACCCGGGCUACAACCUUAUAGGACUAGAAUUGAGGAUGGAGUAGUGUUGACCUUCGAGGGGUUUCGACUCCCGUGUAGGCACAUGAAAAAUCCUCGCUCAGAUUAAUUCUUUUGUUAUUUCUUAAAUAACAUUAGAAUAAGUUUGAAGACCUUUAAUUUCUAAGAGUUUAGAUGAUACCAACACCAUGUCAGUUUCUUUUUGACAUAUUUUAUCCAAAAGUCAAAUAUUCAAAUUAUUUUUAUUUAUUUAUUUUAACAAAGUUUCACAUUUUCCUAAAAUUUUAAAUAAUACAUAUUUCAUUUAAAAAAAAGAAUUUCAAUAACAGUAUUUUCUAUAUUAUUAUUAUUUUGAGUUUGAUAUUUAAAUUUUAUUUAUCUUAGUUCCCUAGAAAUUGGGUCAUUUGGCUUCAUGCAAUACUUUAAAGAAAGUAAUGUUUACAUUGUAGAGGUACAUGAAAACCUUUAUAUAUUCUAAAAUUAACUAAAUAUUAAAAAACAAUUAAGCUAAAGUACAUAAAAUUCUUAUUUCUUUUCUUUUCAUGUUUUUUCUUUUUUUUUUUUUUUGAUUUUUGAUUUUUGAUUUUUGAUUUUUAAUUUUUAAUUUUUUAAUUUUUAAUUUUUAAUUUUUAAUUUUUUAAUUUUUUUUCUUUCUCUUUCUUCCCUUGCUCUUUAGUCUUCAAAGUUUUCAAAAUAAUCAAAGUAAAACAUAGCUCACCCUACUCCAAUUCAUCAUCCUUACAAUACGAUGCAUAAAAGUCGAAUCGAAGAAGAACAAGAUAAAGACAUGGAUAAAAUGAGACAAGAUAUUAAUAGUCUUGGGGAACAAGUUUCAAAAAUACUGGAAUUGCUUUCAAUAGGAAAAGGAAAAGUCGUCAUAGAAACAGCACAAUCAAGCAAUCCAAUUCAAGACACCAAUGAUCCCAUUUAUCCCCCAAGAUUUAUGUCACGCCACAUGAACGUUACACAGUCUCAAACUGCUCGACACUAUGUUGCUAUGAAUCCACUUUUUGAUGUUCCACCUCCUGUCCCAGAUAUAGAACAAUUGGAAGCUCAGGCUAAAAUUCAAGACAUAAGGCAAAAUGAGAACACUUCGGCUAAGCAAAAACUAGAUGUUUUGGAAGAAAGAUUGCGAGCAAUUGAAGGGACUGAUGUUUAUGGAAAUAUAGAAGCAACACAGUUGUGCUUAGUGCCAGACUUGAUCAUUCCAGCAAAGUUUAAAGUUCUCGAAUUUGACAAAUAUGAUGGAUCAUCGUGUCCAAGGAGUCAUCUUAUAAGGUAUUGUAGAAAGAUGACAAUGCAUAUUGGUAAUGAUAAAUUGUUGAUCCAUUGCUUUCAGGACAGUUUGACUGGUCCAGCUACUCGAUGGUAUAUUCAAUUAGAUAAUACACACAUUCAUGUUUGGAAGGAUUUAGCUGAUGCAUUUCUAAAGCAAUAUAAACAUAAUAUUGAUAUGGCUCCAGAUCGUUUAGACUUGCAACGUAUGAAGAAGAAGAAUUCAAAAAACUUUAAAGAAUAUGCUCAACGAUGGAGAGAUAUGGUCGCGGAGGUUCAACCACCAUUAACAGACAAAGAAAUGACGUCUAUGUAUAUGAAUACUUUGCGGGCUCCAUUCUAUGAUCGAAUGAUUGGUAAUGCUACAACCAAUUUUUGUGACAUUAUUGUUAUUGGUGAAAGAAUUGAAUAUGCGAUAAAGCACGGGAGAUUAGCAGAGGCUUCAGCUGAGUAUGAGGGAUUAAAGAAAGGAACAACAUCUAAGAAGAAAGAAGAUAAGGUUCAUGCAUUUGGUUUUCCUAAUUUAGGGAACCACAAAUCAACUUUUGGCCAAAGAAAACAUGACCAAAGUUUUCCUUCAUAUAUAAGCAAUGUUUCUCAUGUCCCACAUAACAACUAUGUACCAACUCACUCUUUCUCUAGAGCCCAAAAGCCUAUUAAUUCAAACUCUUCUCAACCAUUUGUACAAGGUCAAAGUAGCGAGACCAACUCAGAUACAUGACAAUUUGAUCCAAUUUCCAUGACAUAUACAGAACUUUUACCUCAUCUAAUUCAAAAUCGACAGUUAGCUCCUAUCCCAAUGAAUCCUAUACAAUCUCCUUAUCCAAAAUGAUAUGAUUCAAAUGCUCGAUGUGAUUAUUAUGCCGAAGGAGCAGGACACUCAAUUGAAAAUUGUUUGGCUUUAAAAAGGAAUGUGCAAUCUUUGAUUAAUGAUGGAUGGUUAAGCUUCAAAAAAGUUGGUGAGAAGCCGGAUGUCAACAACAAUCCACUGCCUAAUCAUGAAAAUCCAAAAGUGAACAUUGUAGAUUGCUUUGUUUCAAAAGUGCAAAAAUGAAGGAGAAACAGUUUAUGCAUGUCCACCUGAUUUCGAGCUUAAUACUUGGGAUGUUGUAGAUAUACCUACAUUUUCAAAAGAAUUUCAAGAGUAAUGAUUAAGCUUUUAUUUGUCAAAUUCCUUUUAUUUUAUAGUGGCUCUACACAAGGCCACAAUGUUUUAUUUGCUUUACAAUAUGAAUGUACUGUUUUAUUUGUUAUUUAAUGAAAUCUUCGCAUUUUCCUUUCGUUCUUUCCAACUUCUUCUCUCUGCUUUCUUUCUUGCAUCUUGCAAAUUAAACACAAAAGUCCAAACUUUUUCAUAGACAACAUUCAUAAGAACGAAGAUGUUAGUAAUUCCAGUUCUACCCUUGAUACCUUAAUAUACACUAUGGAAUCUGACAAAGAGAGUGACGAUGAAAAUGCUGGGAGAAUAUCCUCAGAACUGUUAAGAUUAGUAGAAGAAGAAGAUAAGGUCUUAGGUCCUCACCAAGAGCUAGUUGAAGUAAUCAAUUUGGGUUCUCAGGAGGAAUUAAAAGAGGUAAAAAUUGGCACAUCAAUGACCAGUGAAACUCGAAAAAAAAUCAAUUUGUUACGUGAGUACUCAGAUAUUUUGCUUGGAGUUAUCAGGAUAUGCCGGGGUUAAAUACGGAUAUUGUAGUACAUCGUGUUCCUUUGAAGCCAGAAUGCAACCUAGUAAGACAAAAGCUACGUAAAAUGAAGCUUGAUAUAUUGUUUAAAAUAAAAUGGGAAGUACUUAAACAAUUCGAAACAGUGUUCCUCACAGUCUCCAAAUAUCCUGAACGAGUGGAAAACAUUGUUCCAGUAUCCAAAAAGCAAACAAAAAGACAGAAAAGUGAGAAUGUGUAUGGAUAGAGAUUUAAAUCGAGCUUGUCCAAAGACAACUUCCAUUUACCUCAUAUCGACAUGUUGGUGGAUAACACUGCAGGAUACUCAACUUUCUCCUUCAUGGAUGGUUUUUCAGAAUAUAAUCAAAUUAAAAUGACUGAAGAAGAUAAAAAAAAAAAAACAACAUUCAUUACCUGUUGGAGAACAUUCUGCUACAAAGUAAUGCCUUUUGGUUCAAAAAAAUGCUGGGGCAAAUAUCAGUGAGCAAUGGUUACACUUUUUCAUGAUAUGAUGCAUAAGGAAAUAGAGGUGUAUGUUGAUGAUAUGAUUGCAAAAUCCAAAGCAAAUGAAGAUCAUACAACUAUACUCCAAAAAUUAUUUAAUUGGUUGAGAAAGUAUCAAUUGAAAUUAAAUCCAUCCAAAUGUACAUUUGGGGCAACCUCGGGAAAACUGUUCGGAUUCAUUGUCGGUGAAGAAGGGAUCAAAGUAGACCCAGAUAAAGUGAAGUCUAUCAUGGACAUGCCAUCCCCUGAAACAGAAAAAGAAGUUCGAGAUUUUCUUGAAAGACUAAAUUACAUAUCCAGAUUUAUCUCGCAUUUAACUUCAACCUGCGAACCAAUCUUCAAGCUUUUACGUAAAAACAAUCCAAGAAAAUAGAAUGAGGAUUGUGAAGAAGCUUUCAACAAAAUUAAGCAGUAUUUGCAGAGCCCACCUGUAUUAUAAUAAGCCAUGGUAUUUUGAUAUCAAGCAAUACAUAAAUUGUAGAGAAAUAUGGAGCUUCAGAGAAUGACAAGCGCACAAUAAGAAGGUUGGCCAUGAACUUUUUCUUAAGUGGUAAAGUUCUUUAUAAAAGAAACCAUGAUAUGGUACUCCUUCGAUGUGUUGAUGUGGAAGAAGCAAAACAAAUUAUGACAGAAAUUCAUGAAGGAAUAUGUGGAACACAUGCGAACGGACAUAUUAUGCCUAGACAAAUACUUAGAUCUGGUUAUUAUUGGACAACGAUGGAAUCAGACUGUAUAAAAUAUGCAAGAGAAUGUAAAAAGUGUCAAAUUUAUAUGGAUAAGAUUCAUGCAGCAGCAUCUCCAUUGCAUGUCUUGUCAGCACCAUGGUCGUUUUCUUUAUGGGGAAUGGAUGUUAUUGGACCUAUUGAUCCUAAAGCCUCAAAUGAUCAACAUUUUAUUCUUGUGGCGAUUGAUUACUUCACUAAAUGAUUAGAGGCAACAUCUUACUGCAAUGUUACAAAAGGAGUGGUGCUCAAGUUUAUCAAAAAAGAGUUGAUCUGUCGUUAUGGUCUACCAGAGGGUAUUAUUACAGAUAAUACCAAGAACCUUAAUAACAAAUGAUGGACGAACUUUGUGAGAAAUUCAAGAUCAAUCACAGAAAUUCGACUCCAUAUCACCCCAAGAUGAAUGUGGCAGUUGAGGCAGUCAACAAAAAUAUUAAAAGAGUUAUUGAGAAGAUGACAACAACAUACAAAGAUUGACAUGAAAUUUUACCAUUUACACUGCAUGGAUAUCAUACAUCAGUUCGUACUUCAACAGGGGCAACACCAUUUUAUUUGGUUUAUGGUAUAAAAGUUGUCCUACCUUUAGAACUUAAGAUACCUUCAUUGAGAGUUAUCAUGGAAGCUAAGUUAUAUGAAGUUGAAUGUCGUUAUGAGCAGUUGAAUUU
rnacentral:lncRNA from 1 species